rnacentral:lncRNA from 1 species
AAUGGAUUUGAGUUGGUAGAGCUACGGUCCCGAUUCGCUCCAAAUAAGGCGAUAAGUGGGAAUAAAAAAUAUAUAAUCCGCCCUAAGUCCACUUCGAUCAGUCAAGUAAAUGGAGCGGGAGGCGGGAUACUCCUUUCUUCCUUCGAUCCGUGUCGACCCACCAAAAAUCCACAAAAGCCCUCUCCCGUCCUGAUCUGUUUUGAAUAAAACAGUAAAUGAGGGUAAAAAAUAGAAUUAAAAUUUACCUGUCCCGAAUCCACCUCGAUCCAAAAAAAAAUAGAGCAAGAGGUGAGAGAACUCUUUCGCCUCCAGAUCCAUCCCGUUUGCAUUCCUAUCCACACUCGUGCUCAAAAGGGGGCCAUGUUUUGUAGAGGUGAGACAUCUUGGUUUUGUCCCAUAAAGCCCAUUCCUCUUGUGAAUGAGGUACUUGUAUAAAAUGAGGGAUAUAUAAGCUUUUUUAAAAAAAAAAAAAUUAUGCCUUUUCCUUUGUGGUUUUUUGGGGAAAUUUAAGAGGGUUAUGUAGGUAAAAAUGAUGGAGACACAACCAACCUAGGCCAUUUUGAAAUGGCCUGCUUAAUUUUAUUUUAGUUUGGUUGGCACUUUCUUAAUUUUUGAUUUUUUACAUAAAAAUUGAGUGAUUUCACUUAAAUAAGCUAGAUUUUUUUUUAAUCAAAUUUAAUGAUCUAAUAAUUACUUAUUGACAAAGAAAAAUAAACAAACUAAUGACACAUAGUUAAUAAAACUAUUAAAGAAGUGUUAAUUACAAACUUAAUCCUUUAGAUCAGUUCCCACAAAAGUUUUAAAAAAAGGAAAAAAAAAAAAAGGCAUACUUUCAAGUGGCACAAUGAAUACUAAAUCAUAACAUCCACAUGGACCAUGUAAUAGAUGCAUGGAGCUUCAAAAACAUUUACCUUAGUUUUCAGGUUAAUUUGAUAUAGAAAUGUCACCCCUAAGAAAUAUAUUACCAAUUACUAUCUCUUGAGAGCGAAUUUUUUGUAAUCCCUUGCAUGGUAAAUUAUUGUGCUCAGCUAAUUUUCGCAAUAUUUUUGCCCUUUAUCUAAAGUUUGUUGAUUCAAACUUUUCUGCUCGCCUUUUAGGUCGACAACUAGAUCACUACUACUCAUGAAGAUAAACCUGUACUGCAGAUGAAUCGCCUGAAAUGGUAGAGAGAAUUUUAUAUUUGACGUAUCUCUAGCUCUACUGGCUUUAUAGUUAUUUUCUCUUUUUAAUUAUCUUCGACUGCACAUUACACAAAGUUAUAUAUUCAUGUUAAACGAAAAAAGAAAAAAUCUUCUUUUAAUAAAGUUCUAUAUUCAUGUUAAACGAAAAAAGAAAAAAUCUUCCUUUGAUUAUUAAUUUGGGAUUUGUGAUUGAUUAAGAGAGAGAGAGAGAGAGAGAGAGAGAGGAAAAAAAAAAAANAAAAAAAAGAACUUCAAGAAGUGGGCACCAUAAUUUACUAGUUAAUAUGAGCAGGGAAGCCUCAUUAGCUGGAGUUAUAGGAAAUCUAUGUAACUUAGCAAAAAUGGGAGGCAACUAAACUUGCCAGGUGUGGUAUAUAUAUGUUUUCCUUAAAAUAAUUUCAUCAAUUUUUUUUUUUUUUUUGGCCCUAGUUUUGGCUAUCAAUGACAAGUAGCAAAAUUUAACCAAAAGGAAUAACCCUACAAAAUGUUAAAUUAUUACAGUGUAGAGCUAUUAUGCUAUCAAAAGUAUAAAGAAUUUGAUGUUUCUGAUUUUUUACCAUUGGAUCAAGAAUUGUACGGUUUAGAUGAUUGCUAUCCCCCUUAGGGUUGAGUAGUAUCCCCUAGAGUUUAGUGGUUCCCACAGGAUAAUAGUAUUAAUUCAAAGGUUAGAAAUGAUUAAAAGGACUGAUCUAAGGGCCAAAAAGUCGGAAGCACUAGAUCCUCCAUGAUUCAAAUAGUAUAGUAGCUCUACUCAUUAUUACAUGGCAGGAAAUUAAUCAGACUAGAAACUUUCUGUUCUGACAUUAUGUUAAAAUAAUAUAAAACGACCAUACUUUUCUAAGAGCUUAAUUUACCAGAGAAUGAUAUUUUUACUUUUUUAUUGAACACAAAAUUUGACCAACAAAUCAAACAAACUUAAAUGUACCAUUGGAGUACUUGAGAAUACUCUUUACAUUAUUAGUCCAAUAAAUAAUUUCACUCAUUAAAAUAUGUGAAAAAAGAAAAGAAAUGAUAAAAAAGAGUAAACAUGAUGGGUUGCAUGUUGUAAUCACCUGUUAAAAGCAGUUUCCAAUUGUGACAGUGUCAAGCAACAUUGAGCUUCAGUUAAUUGCUUAUAAUUAAUUAGACCCAUCAUUAAUAAAAAAAAUUUCCAAGGAUCUUCUUAAGUAUAUAUCCAAUCUCUUCUUAUAACACUUAAUAAACUCCAUAUAUUUAUUUAAAUUUUAAGCUAAGAUAAUUAGAUAUAGGUGGUUUGAUUAAAUUAUUUUUUUCUUCGUAAAUAAUAUCCCAGUUGGCAUGAUUAAUUAAUAAAAACUAAGCUGUUAGUGAUUUAGUAAGUAUAAUAAAAUCAAGUCCAUUAAAAAAUUUAAGUUCCUUGAACAAACACAUGAUCCUAAUAUCUCAAAAUUCCCAUAACAAAUUUUUUUUUGGUAAAAAUGUAUGGAGAAACCCUCAAACUAUAGGCUCUUCUGAACUAACUCCCCUAACUUGUUUUUUGUUUUUUUGGAUUAAGACACACCUCAACUCCUGACUUUUUUAUUUUAGUUCUCAUNCACCUCAACUCCUGACUUUUUUUAUUUUAGUUCUUAUACUUAAUUUAAUUAGAUUUAAUGACUCUAUUAGUUAUUAACUUGUUAAUUGAUUGAAUUUUAUUUGCUAUUAUAAAGUGACUAAAUUUGGUGAAAUCACCAAUAAGUUUGAUAAAAUUCUCUAAUUUUUUAUUAAAAUCACUUAAUUCCAAAAUGUGAGAAAUUUGAUGAGGACAUAAUUCAAAAAUUAUUGGGUCCCAAUUCAUUUGGAAAUGGGUCAUAUUCGGGCAUGUCGCACUAUGGGCCGGGCCGUAUUUUCUCAGGUUCAGGCUCCGGCCCGGAAUUUUUUAGUUCGGAUCGCGUGAAUAGUGAUGGCCCUCCUAAAAAUGUUUUGUGGACCACACUACAUAUUAUACCUACACGCAAAGUUUUACUUAUGAUUCUUAAACUAUGAGACAUGUAAUAUUUUAAUCUCAAAUUUUAAUUUGUUAUAAUUUCUAGCUUGAAUUUUAUAAUUUGUUUUAAUCAAGUCCUCUAGUAUAAUUCAGCUGACUCAGUGAUACCAUGUCGCUGAUAUUGCAGUGUUGUGAUUGGUCACACAGCAAUGACUAAGAUGUUAUAUCACUACUAUACCAGCCACAUAUCAACAUCCAAUCAAGUAAAUUAAACUGUAGAACUUGAUUUUUUUUUUUUUUUUUUUUUGAGAAAGAGGUAGUAAGCUACCUGCUUCAUUCAUUAAGUGAAAUGAACUUAGCUUACAAGAUGAAAGCAGCUAGGGCCUCCUAAACGAACCGGGAAGCAAAGAAGAAAAAAGACAAAAAGCCAAAACAUCGGCGCUACAUCUAGAGAGAGUAAAACUUACACUGGAACAUACAGAGGGCGAGAAACAGAAGGAAUGAAAAACGAGAAUGAAAGAAUGCUCACGGGUGGAGAACUUCGGUCCAAUCUUCUAUCAAAGAAGCAACACGUUCCAAUGCUCAGGUAGCAUCGGGGACCGGCUCUCUGAAGAUGCUGUUAUUGCGUUCCGUCCAUACGACCCACCAGAUUGCCGCCAAACGUGUGAGUUUUUUCGUUCUCGUCCUGGCAAUGGGGGAGUAUGCUGUCUCUGUCCAUACGUGCCUAACAUCCCCAGAGUCUACAUCGAUUGUAUCCGAUUCUCCCGCGCAAAUUAGCAGGUAUCUGACGAAAACACAAUCCCUGAAGAGGUGAUCGCAGUUCUCUGGUGAGAUUGCGCAAAAGAUGCAACAAUACGGAUCCACCAUGCACCCUCGACGUAUCAAUCUAUCGGCGGUAAGUAAUCUCUUGCGGAGUAAUAUCCAGAUGAAGAUUUUGAUUUUGGUCGGAAGUUUUAAACACCAAAGGUGGUGGUACAUUAGGUCUCUCUGACUUGCGUCGGUGACAAAAUCAUAGAGGGAUUUAACCGUGAAUAUUUGGUUGGAGUUCCAACGCCACUCUAUUAUAUCCGGUGUGUCCAUUGGACAAUACUGGGCAACCUGAUCUGUUGGCGACUAUAUUCGUCAGUAUUUGUUGCGAGGCCUCUGACAAUGAAAUGCCAUCUCCAUCCUUUUUCAUUCCAGCAUUGUGAACUUGAUUGUUACAACAUGAAAAGUUGGUGUUAGAAAUAAUUACAACAAUUAAUUAAAGUUUAAGGACCAAAGUGCCACGUACGCAUGUCGUGAUUUGAGAACUACAACUAUAAGGUUUUUUUUUUUUUUCUUUUUUUUUUGAGAGAUGGGUAGCACGCUACCAACUACAACUAUAAGUUAAUUUGGUCAUUUAUAGUUGGGAGUUUUCGCAACUAUUUAUAGAUGUUCUAAUUGGUUUGUACCACAAAUAUUGUUGUCCCGUUAUUCUAGGGUACAAACACUAAAAUACAUUAUUUUGAAUUCAAGUUCAAUCAAUGGAAGGAAAAGCUUACUGGAUUAAAAACAAAAAAGGGGGCAUCAUGUUCUCUUUUUGGUACAUUUCGUUUGGUAUAUAAAACAUAGAUCAUAUAUAGAUAAUAGUAAAGUUAAGGGUCCACCACCACCCUUUAGUGUGUGUAUAUAUAUAUAUAUAUAUAUAGUGGUAAAUGAAAAAAUAGUGUAUCUGUUAUGCACAGUAGUUUACGUAGAAGAAAUUAAUAUCUCCCUCAAUUAUGUUAGGUUGAUGUCCCCUACAUGUCUAAUAAAUUUCCUUUUUGGAUCCACAUUUAAUUAUUCUAGGGUUUUUUCUAAGAUGCUUAUAAGCUAGAGUAUUUUAAAUGAAAAAAUUUUCUCGAAGCAUAAACUUAACUCGAGUCGGAUGUGAAAAUGUUGAGCUGAACAUAGUAACCAAAGUAUCAAAAUCUGGUUUAUAUAAACUUUUAGAUAAAUUGCAUAUUUGGAUAAACUUUAAUUUGUUGUAAUUUUUUACUCGAAAUUUUAGAAUUGUUGCAAUCAAAUCCCAUAAACUAACGUACAGAUGAUAUAAUAGUGUUGUGAUUGAUGAUGCGCUAAUAAUUAAAAACUCACAUCAUUUUUAAAUCAAUCAACUAAACUAAAUUAUGUGACUUGAUUAUAAUAAUUUUACGAGUUCGAGUCAAAACAUGUAAUAAAUUAAGAUUUGAGAACUACUAAAAUAUUGUCACGUGCCUGUGACAGGUUGAGAACCAAAUGAAAUUCUAACCGGAUCAGGUUGAGCGGGUCGGGUCUGCUCGGGUCGGCUCGGGCCUACUUAAACCUCACAGUUUUCCUGUAAUGGAGCGGGUCGGGUCAGAUUUUCUCGGGCCUACUUAAACAUGACAUUUUGUCAUGUGAUGCAUUGGAUCCGCAUCAUUAAACCUGUUUUUUAUAGUCACUGACACACUGUGAAUGCUUUGGAUCCAUGCAUGGGUGGCAUGCGUAAGAUGACAAAGUUGAUAGGAAAGGAUAUAAAAAUUUAAUAUUUAACUUAUGGCUUAAUUAUAUUAUAUUAUAUUGUAUUUUACAGAUUUUACACUUUACUUACUGUAUAAUUAAUUUUUUUUCAAAAGCACCCGUCUACUAUUCUUUUUUUUUUUUUUCAAUCUUUAUACCAUAAACAUUAGUAAUAAAUUAAUAAUUUUAUAUGAAUGCUGUUGAAAAUAUUAAUUAAAAGUGAUAGAUCAAAGGCCUGCAAAUCUGUAUUUUCAGAAUAAACCUAAAUACGUGUUAGGGAGUUUUGAACUGAGCCCAGAACCACAUGAGCCAACGAAUAUGACAUGUUGAACGGAACUCAUUUGACCUAAAAGUUUAAGUCUAUUAGGUUUGAGUUCACUGGUAUAUAUCAAUUCUUUACUCUCUUGUUAAUUAUCUGAUAUGGACGUCAAAUGAAACACAUUCAAUCUAAAAGUUUAAGUCUAUUAAAUUUGAGUUCACUAGUAUAUAUCAAUUUUUUACUUUUUUAUUUAUUAUUCUAUAUGGUAUUAUUCACAUGUGAUCUCGUACCGGUGCGAAAUGUCAUACCCCCUAGAAAUAAAAAUAACACAUGAGAAAUUUUGUAGCAAGGUCUCCGGACUCUAAAAAAGUACCAAUCAAAUGUAAAGUUUGUUAGGCGGAAUGACAAACGAAGAAUCAUUUUGCCCGAAAUAUUUCUCUGGCUAAAAUGAAUUAAAGAAAAGAUUCCAUAUUUGUCGAAUUAACGUUAUCUCACAACAUAAAUUUUUGAAGAACGUUGACCGUUUCAUAUUCGUUAACAUAAUAUUAUAUAUAACAAAAAAUUAACCUUGAAUUUGAAAUACUAUUAUUCGCUGCUAGCUUAAAUUUUUAAAGAACGAUAAUUAUUUGAUAUUAUUUAACAAUAUGGUAGACUAUCUAUCUCUUCACCAUCUUAUAUUGCCAGUAUAAAAAAACAAAAGGAUGGCUGUUGCGCGUGAGAGAGAGAGUUCAAAACAUCAUUGAUUGACAGUUUUAAGCAAGAACUAGCUAUUAUAGGGAUAGGUACAAGUAUGGAGAUAAGAAAAAUCGUGUUUGGAUGAAAAUUAGGUUGUUUCCGGAGAUAAGAACAAUUUUAGAUAGUUUUAUAUAGAAAAUGGAGGUGUUGGUGGAGAUAACCGAGAACUACUAUUCUCGGAUAAAAAAUUAGCGUUUUAGAGAGAGAGAGAGAGAGAGAGUUUUAAACAUCAUUUGUCGACCGUUUUAAACUUUUAAAAAAUAAUGAUUGUUUUAUAUUAUUUAACAGUAUUGUAGGCGUACUCUUUAGAAAGCAACACAAACACAAUCUUAUAAUGCCCCAACAUAGGAUUGUUGUUGUUGUGUGUGUGUGUGUGUGUGUGUGUGUGUGUGUGUGUGUGUGUGAGAGAGAGAGAGAGAGAGAGAGAGAGAGAGAUGGUCCAUCCAUAUAUGAAUGGUGGAAUUAAUGGAAUAACUCGAAACCGAGGAAACAAAACUUUUCAGUUGUGGUCACCCCCUCCCACACCAACCAAUUAUUAUUGUUCAGGGAUGGGGAUGAAAAUAAUAAUUUCAUGAGGGGCCAGAUAUAAUGAAUUCUGUCCAAGUAAACCUCCAUAUUUUUUACUGCUCAUUCAUUUUUCAUCAUUGAGCAAGACAUAUUCUGCCAUUUUGUCCUUUUGUUAAUAAGUAUAUAUCCUUGGACUAUAAUUGUAUGUAUAGGAAAGGGCUCUUCAACAUUAUUAUAUACAUGUGGUAUCUAAAUUUAUAUUACCACCAACCACAUCUUUUUCUUGAUCUAGGUUUUUUAACCACAUCUUCUUCUUCUUCUUCUUCUUUAUUUCUUAUAUUUUGUGGGUACGUAAAAGAAAUAUGAAAUAAAUGCAUGGAGAUCGACCCUCUCAAGUCGUUCUAAAAUGGAGCCUCUAACUUUUUAUUUUUAUUUUAUAGGUUGGAGCCCUUCUUAAAUAAUUUUUAAUUUUCCUUUUUUAAUCUGAGUUAUUUCUUUUAUCUCAAAUGAAUUAAAAGUUUAUUAAACUUAAUGGAUCUAUUAACUACCGGUCAUUACAGAAAUAUUAGUAUAAUAUAUAUAUAUAUAUAUAUAUAUAUAUAUAUAUAUAUAUAUGUCACUACAAAAAAGUUAACAUUUAAAGACGUUUUUUUUUAUAUUUAAUAAUACUUAAAAACAUUCCAAUAUAUUCUAAUAUUACAUUUGAAAGCGUUAGUUAAAGCGUUUGGAAAUAAAGAAACGUUUCGCAUAUACCGAUUGACGCUUAUGCCAAAUAUCCUAACACUUUAAAAUGUCAGGAUUUUAAAACAUCCCGACGUUUUAAAGCGUCGAAAAAUUAAAAAUAAUAGUAAAGUUUAUCGUUUAAUAAAUUGACUUGAUACAAUAAAGAGUUCAUAUGAUGAUACUUUUUUAAGCGUCGGUACUGGAUAUAUUGUAGGAACACUUCUUCCAAGCUUCGUACGUCUAAAAAACGUUCUUAUAUAUGUUGAGAUUUUUUUGUAGUUAUGUAUGUUAUUUAUAUGAUUUAGAUGUAUUGAAUGGAUAUAAAAGUGAGAAAGAAAAAAUAUAUAAAAUUACUAGAAGGAGAAAUGCCAAUACAAUUUUUAUAGUUACAUAUGAAUUAAGUUGAUAUAAUAAGUAAAAAAAAUAAUAAUCCUAAAAUAAAGAAGGUGUAAGAUGUACAUUAAUCAUUUUGGAGUCUACUAAUAAUAUUGCUUUUAAUUAUAUACCUCAAUUAAUUGUACUAUUCAUUUUAAGAAUAUAUACUGUUCUACUUUUGUCCACAGUAGCCAUCCAAAUUAUUUUAAAUUACUGUUCAUAUUAAUUAUUUUUUUAAGGACAAUAAUGCAACUGUGUUCCAUAGUCACACCACAAAGUAUGGUAUGCGCCAAAUUUCGUGUAUAUAUAUAUAUAUAUAUAUAUAUAUAUAUAUAUAUAUAUAUAUNACUUCAAAUACGCAAGAUCAAUUCUAACGGAGCCGAUCGUCGAUUCGAAAACUCCAUCAUCGAAAACGCCUCAGGAGGACGGAGGCCUCCGUGCUCCUGAGAGAAGAGCAGCCUUGCUCUCUCUCUCUCUAUAUAUGUAGUCCGGCUGCUAUGCUAUCGAUAGCACCAAGCAUUUGGUUCUAUCAAGUUUCCUGCCGUUAGAUUAAUCCUUUUGAUUAUUUUUAGCCGUUAGAUUAUACUAUUCAACUAUCAUCCUAACCGCACAUUUCUCAAUCCAAGAGCUAAAAAACUAAUAGCACCAACAACUUGGUGCUAUUGAUAGUAUUCCAGCCUAGUUCUAUAUAUAUAUAUAUAUAUAUAUAUGGGCUAAUGCUACUAUCCUAUUAAUAGGAUAGGAGUACUUGUCCUAUCAAGUUGUUCUUGAUGAUCGAGAUUCCGAAUCGAUGAUCGGAGCCGUGGUUUACAUGGUGAUCAAAGUGUCGUAAAAUCGACAAAUUUUUUUAUUUUUUUUGAGAGAUAGGUAGCACUCCCGCUACCCGCUUCGUUUAUUUCAGUUAGAAAUAAACUUAGCUGAAAAUGUGAAUCAACUAGGAUUGGAACUUGGAUCUCGGGUACCAACCACCAAGCCCUUUGCCACUUGCUCUAGGGACGGUCGGUAAAAUCGACAAUUUUUGACGGCCUAUAUGAGCCGUUUGCUUGUUUAACGGUGUAGAGCAAUUCAAAUUACUUGAAUUUUUGAUAGAAAAUUUUUUAUACUAUUUAGAUAAUAUUUGAUAACUCUGAUUACGAACUGAGAAAGUCUAACCUCUAUUUUAAGAAGGAUAUUCAUUUAUGACCGUUCAUUUUUCAACUCUUAAGAUGAACUUGAUAAUAAUUUUUAAAUAAUACAAAAUUUGGUUUCUAAACAUUUCUAAUUGUGUAGAUCAAUUUCAACGGUGCCGAUUAUUAAUUUGAAGUUCCGAUCAUUCAAAUCGACUUGAUAGGACAAGGGUCCCAAUCCUAUUAAUAGGAUAGUAGCCGACCCUACAUAUAUAUAUAUAUAUAGAGAGAGAGGGAGAGAGCUACUAUAUAUAUAGAGAGAGAGAGCUACUAUGCUAUGCUUAUAAAGGAUCUAGCGCUUUUAAUUUUUUGGCCCUUAAAUCAACUCUUUUGAUCAUUUCUAAUCUUUGGAUUAAUACUAUUACCUUGUGGCCGGGAACCACUCAACCUAGGUGUACUACUCAACCCUAGGGAGGAACCGCAAUCAUUCCAACCGUACAAUUCUUGAUCCAAGAGUCAAAAAGUCAGAAUCAUUAAAUCCUCUAUGCUUCCGAUAGCACAGUAGUAGCUGUACACUACACAAUCCUAAGGGGGAGUGCAAUCAUUCCAGCCAUACAAUUUUUAAUCCAAAGGUCAAAAAGUCGGAAGCAUUAAAUACUCUGUACUUCUGAUAGCAUAGUAGCUUUACACUAUAUAUAUAUAUAUAUAUAUAUAUAUAUAUAUAUAUAUAUAUAUAUAUAUAUAUAUAUAUAUAUAUAUAUAUAUAUAUAUAUAUAUAUAUAUAUAUAUAGAGAGAGAGAGCUACUAUGCUAUGCUUAUAAAGGAUCUAGCGCUUUUAAUUUUUUGGCCCUUAAAUCAACUCUUUUGAUCAUUUCUAAUCUUUGGAUUAAUACUAUUACCUUGUGGCCGGGAACCACUCAACCUAGGUGUACUACUCAACCCUAGGGAGGAACCGCAAUCAUUCCAACCGUACAAUUCUUGAUCCAAGAGUCAAAAAGUCAGAAUCAUUAAAUCCUCUAUGCUUCCGAUAGCACAGUAGUAGCUGUACACUACACAAUCCUAAGGGGGAGUGCAAUCAUUCCAGCCAUACAAUUUUUAAUCCAAAGGUCAAAAAGUCGGAAGCAUUAAAUACUCUGUACUUCUGAUAGCAUAGUAGCUUUACACUAUAUGUAUGAAAAGUAUAUCUAUUAUUCAUUGAGAUAAUAUGUAUUUUCUUAAUUAUUGGGAGUGAGAGAAAAGUAAGGCCAUACAAUUUUUAAUCCAAAGGUCAAAAAGUCGGAAGCAUUAAAUACUCUGUACUUCUGAUAGCAUAGUAGCUCUACACUAUAUGUAUGAAAAGUAUAUCUAUUAUUCAUUGAGAUAAUAUGUAUUUUCUUAAUUAUUGGGAGUGAGAGAAAAGUAAGGAGCUACCUAUUUCGUUUAUUUUUUAGAAAUAAAAUCAGCCAGUGUUAAAUAUGUCUCAAAAUUUAAUUGUCGAGUUUGAUUUUCUGCCCCUAAUUCACCAACAGUUUCUCAGUAGAAUAAAUUUAAGAAAAAAAUAAAUUGUGAAGGAAGAGGGGGAUGUUUUCGGUGGAAGCGGAAGGUCAGGUUGGUACGGAUCGGUGCGAAGGAAAAAGCGGAUGUUUUUGGUGGAAGCAAAAGGGUCAGGUUGGUACGGAUCGGAUGAGAUUUUGAAUAAAUCCAUUAAGGAACAAAUGGGUCGUUUCUUUCUUUUUGCACUAAAGGCGUGAUUGCCAUUUCUUUCCUUUUGCCCUAAAAGCGUGAUUCGUGUUAUAUUCUCCACAAUAUUGUACUAUCUUUUUCGUAUAUGUAGUGAACUUCUCUGCUACUUUGUUCUUGAUUUUUUUUUCUCUAAAGAAUUUUUUACGUAAAUCUUUAUUUUCAUUCUUCUUUUACAGCUUUAUGGUUUGUUUACUUUACGAUCGUCGUUUUCAUUUUUGUUUAUAUUCCUAUUAUAAUAAUUAAAAAUAUAAAGCAAUUAAGAGUUAAUUUAAACUUGAAAUUUCAGGUACAAACUAUCAAGCCUUAAGCUAACCGUGUUAGCUAUGAGAGAGAGAGAGAGAGAGAGAGAGAGAGGAUAUGCAUGUGUGUGUGUUUGUCUAAGUUGCUAGCUCUUCUUCGUAAUUAGUUUUCUAUUAUUGUUUAGCUUCCGAUUAAGGAUAACCCUUAUGUUAGGUCUUAUUAUUUCUCAAACUUUUAUAUCCUUCAAUGAGUUACUAAUUACUUCAAAAUUCCGUCAAUUAAUUUCUUAACUAGUCUAAGUUUAGAACUAAGCUGGUAUACUAUUGGUAGCACGGAGGCCUUCGUGCUAUCUAGUUGUUUUCGAUUAUGCGGCUUCCAAAUUAACGAUCGGUUCUGUUAAACUUGAUCUACAUUAUUGAAAGUAUUUAAAACUAAAUUUUAUAUUUUUUCGACAUUAUUUGACUAGUGAUCAAAAGAUCUCAAAAUUGAUAAUUUUAAUGCCCGAUGUGAUGCACUUGUUAAUUUAAUAUAUAAAAUAAUCUAAAUCUGAUGAAAUUUUUAUAGAAUUUUUUUUUCAUCAUUUAAAGUAAGAUCAGUACAUCAGAUUUUAAAUUCAAAUUUUUUAUCAUUAUUUUUAUAAAAUUUUUAUUUUCAGCCGUUUAUUUUUAGACUACUCAUUUGAUAAGUAAAUAAUGUCGAAAAAUUAUGAAAUUCAGUUUCCAAAUAAUUUUAAUAUUAUAGAUCAAAUCUAGUGGAGCCGACCGCCGAUUAGGAAGCUGCAUCAUUGAGAUCUCCGUACUAUCGAUAGUAUACCAGCUGUACUCCUAAGUUUAUAAUUAAACUCUCAAUCUUAUAUGAUUGUUCAUGAAGAAUUAUUCUACAACAAACAAAUUAAAUUAAAGUUUCGUGUAGAGAAUUAAAGAGGAUUAUUCUCAAUCUCAAACAAGGAAUCGGAUGCGCUUCGCCCUCUCGAAGUAGCGGUGGCAUCGAAUCAACGAAAUCCUGAUGCUGAGACUCCAAAGAACAAUUCAAACAUGGGAUUAUUAAUUAGCAUAAUAAUAACACUAUAUAUUUUCUAAAUAUUGUAUAAUAAUAUAUGAUAAUAAUUACAACAAUUAUAAUUGUGGCGAGGAUCGACGAUAGUGGUAACGAUGACGACGAUGAUGAAAACAAUGUUCUUGCAGGUAUAUAUAAGAAUUAACCUCAGUGAAAUUAAGUUUGAAUCACAUAAUAAAAUACAAUUUGAACUGAUUUUUCAACCAUUUGAUUUUAUUUGCAUGAUGGAGACUCUUUUUUGGCUUCACUUAUGAGUAGAUAAGCUCAACUGCAAGUGUGUGUAUAUAUAUAUAUAUAUAUAUGUAUAUAUAUAUAUAUAUAUAGAGAGAAUUAGAGAGAGAGAGAGAGAGAGAGAGAGAGGGGCUCCUAUGAUAACUAUUGUAUCGGGGUUCUGAUAUUAUAGUCUUGUUUUUGAUUCUAUGGUAUUCAAAUCAACGAUCCACAUUGUUAAAAUUAAUAUAGAGUAUUUAAAAAUUUUAAAAUAAAAUAUUAUAUUUGUUCUACAUAAUUUACUCUAUGGUUAAAUUAUUUCAAAAUUAUUAAUUUUCAAUGGCUACUAUGGUGAGUUUGUAACUUAACGGUGUAAAAGAAUCUAAACUUUUUCAAAUUUUGAUAGAAAAUACUUUAAACUAUCUAGAUCAAGGUUAUUAUUUUUGAUCUUCCAUUCAAAAGUCAUAUCCUCAAAUUAUAAAGAUUGUUUAAUUUCUACAGUUCAUUUUGAUACGAUUUACUUACUAAGUAAACUAUGUCGGAAAAAAUUAAAAUUUUAUUUCUAAGAACUUCAUUUAUCCUAAAUCAUAUUUAAUAAUGUGGAUCGUUGAUUUGAACACUCUAAUAUCGAAAACAAAACUAUAGUAUCAGAACUCUAAUACUAUAGAUAGCACAGUAACCUCAUUCUAUAUAUAUAUAUUGAUCACCAUUGUUGUUUUUGACCAUUAAUUAUGUAUGUGGUUAAGAACGAAUUAUGUAAAUAAAUUAUCUAUUGUGUAGGCCACACUAAUGAUAGUACGUGAGACACCUGUGCACUUAAGAGUUGAGAUCAAAGCAAAAAAUAUGACAAUAACUCAACUAAAUUCCAAGAUUAUUGUAAUACAAAGAUAUAAAAAAUCAGUUUAGUGAUUCUCCACGCAACUACUUAAUUUGGAGUGAUUUACCUAUAUUAAGUGAUCCUUUUUUGAUCUUAUUUGGUGAUCUUCUCGAAUAUAUAAUAUAUGUAUUGUUGUAAUAUUUGACUUCUAAUUGUAAUGACAUUUUCUUGUUUUGUUGUUUUCACAGUUUUUUUUUGUGAAUGAGACUCCUCAAUAAUUUCAUAAUUAAUUAGCUAGUAAGCCACAGCAUUACAACUCUUUUUUUUAUAAUAUUAAUUAAAAGCCGAGGGUAUAAAUUCCUUUCUUUUUAGGCUAAAUUAUAUAAAAUCUUUCUGUUAAUACCAGCUUUUUUACUUUUUUCCUCUGUCAUUUAAAAACCUACACUUUACCCCUUUACAAAAUAAAUUCACAGGGGUUACGGUGUUAACUCUAAUGACAAAAUGAUCAAUUUGCCCCUCAACAGGCGGCAAUAUUGAGGAGGAGACUGAGGGUAUUUUUGGUAUAAAAAAUAUAUAAUAAUAUUUUAUAAACGGAACACUAACAGCAGGGAGUGAAGUGAACAUUUUUUAUUUUACAAAUGGACAAAGUGUAGGUUUUUAAAUGACAGGGGGAAAAUAAAAAAGCGGGUAUUGAUAGAAGGGUUUUCUGUAAUUUAGCCUUCUUUUUAAAUACACAUGCAGUACUAGUAGAGAGUUCGAUUCUCUGACCUUAAAGAUAGUCUCGCAGAUGUUACAACAUAAUAACUAUGGCCACAUAAAAUGUACCUAUUAGGUAAAUGCCCUUUCCCAAAAUAACAUGUUGAUUAAUUUACUUAUUAUCUCAUUAUAUCUUGUCUUGGGUUUUUUUCCCAUGGGCCACAUAAAAUGUAUUAGGUAAAUGCCUUUUGACAUUUUCAUUAAUUUACUUUACUUAAUUUAUUCUACUCAAUUACAUAUUGUUUUCUUUUUUCCAUGUGGUGACAUAGUAAUUUAGAAGCGUUAAUUCGAUGAUCGGUAUCUUUGGACAGCACAUAAUAUCAUGAUCUUUCUAAACUCCAAUUUGAUAUCUUGGGAUAUAUAGAAAGAAAUAAGACAGCGUAGUUGUAUCGAUCGACUAAGUACUGAAUCAGAAUAUCGUGACUUUGCUUACACCGCUGUCGAGUGAGUAAUAAUGAUCGCGAAAUUUAUUACUUGCAUACUUUGUCACUACCUGCUAUUUAUAUAUGCAUGGUUGUGACAAUCCUGUAACAAAUUUUCUCAUUGCUAAUAUUAUUCUGCAAUAUUGCUAGAACAAAAAAUAAGUAGAGUUUUAACGCUCGUAGUAACAAAUUUUUUUAUAAGCGAUUAAUCCAUUUCAUUUGAAUAUAAGGUCGCAAAUUCGAAGUGACUAGUUUAAUGAUCUAUUACAUUCUCACUUUUUUUCUCGAAACUUUUCCUUUUUUUUUAUCCUUUUGAAAAUGAAAAUAUAUGAUAUGCAUUAUAUAUUUUGUUUUUUUGUUUUUUGCUUUUCAUAAUUAAGUGCUUCAAAAAAAGAAAAGGAUAUAUAGGUAGGAAAAUUUAAACUCUUUACGGAUGUUGCAAACAAAUAAUUAGUAAUUGCUCAUGAGAGAUGGAUUUUUGUUUUAGAGUUGCAAACUAAGGCCUCAUUUAGCAUCAUUGUCUUUUUUUUUAACACUAAUUUUAUAUAAUUUGAUGUAUUGAAAAAAAAAAUUAUUAUUAUUAUAAUUGAUUAGUUUAUAAUAUAUUCUACGAAUAUAUGAUAAUUUAUUUUUAAAAAAAUUGAGUACCAAAAAAAAAUUAUUUUGAAAUUUUUAUUUUUCAUUGUCAAGUAAAAAUUUUGAAUGAAAAGAUUACUAUAUCGCAAUUUACUGUCAACUCCUGCGUCUUUUAAUAUGCAGAAUCUUAUUCAAAAAGUAAAAAAUAAAUAUUGUACCAAAGAAGGCCUAAGGAGUUUUUUUUAAAAAAUAAUUACUUAUAUACCUCUCAAAACUUCAGAAAUAUUUCAUUUACUUUUUUUUUUUUCUUUUCAAUAUAUUCCUUAUAUGUCCCUCCAUUAUUUCAAAAUACUCCUACAGUUACCGCUCGUUAAGUUAACUUUGGUUAAACGUGAGUUAAAUAUCUACUAGAGUUAAAAAAAAAUUAAAAUGCUUCUUUUGCCAUUAACUUAAGGACAAAUAAAAUAUAUUGGUGAUGACAGAAAGGUAUAUUUAAAAAAACUAAAAAUCAAAAUACUUUUUAGUAUCCUUAAUUUAGGGGCAAACAAAAAAAAGCUGGUGAUGAUGAAACGAUAUAUUUAAAAAAAUAAAAUAAUAAUUUCAUACAGAUAACAGUUAUUACCAACCGUUCAGUAACGAAAUUUGGAACCUAAAAAAGAUAUUUUCAAUAUUAAAUUUUUAUGGAUGGUAAAUCAGAAAGUUGGAAACUUUUUAAACAUAUAUAAACAAUUGUUCAUUUUUUUAAUAUAUAUAGUUUUAUUUUAUGCUAUAUUCAAAUUCCACUAAAUGAACAAUUAAAGCGGGGCAUAACGGCUUUUAUGUACUUCACCAACGAAUUACGGCCUCCGUAUGUACGCACAGAAUUGUGAGAAACACCCAAAAAAAAAAAAGAAAAAAAAGGAAAAAAAGAAAAAGCAAUUAAUUGGUUUACUGUUCAGAGGUGUUGUUUGAUUGGAUCUGAUUGUACACUUGUACCACACUACUGUUAUAAUAACUGUAUACUACGAUGUUUAAUUAUUUUAUACAUCUAUUACUAUAUAUUGCUAUAUACUAAAAUAGAAUUUUUUAUGAACCCUAUAUGAGAAGCUGACACGUAGCCUUUUAUAUGAUUGCCACGUGUAAAUCUCAAAUCUAGAUUUUCUACUUUAGAAAAAAUAAAAUUAGAUUUUUUUAGGAAAUAAUAUGCUUUCUAUAUGUUUUCUAUAGUAAAUAAAUUUUUUUAGGAAAUAAUAAUUAGGGUAUCAAUACUAAUAACUUUUAGGGUUAAAUGCAUACAGGUCCCUGCAAACAUAGUCAAUUGCGAAAAUAUCCCUGCAAAAUGGAAACUCCAUAAGUUAUCCCUGCAAAAGUCUAAAGUUAUGCAGAUAUGUCCCUGCCGUUAAGGACUGUUAGAAAACUUUCGUUAACCACGGUUAAAGUACUUAACCAUGGUUAAUUAUAAGAUAAAUUUACGAUCCUACCCUUCUUCUUCUUCCUCAUCUUCUUCUUCCUCAUCUUCUUCUUCCCUCUUCUUCGUCGCCGGCGAGGGCGGCGGCGGCAGCGACGGCGGCGACGACGGCGGCGACGGCGAACCCUCUUUCUUUCUUUUCCUCAUUCUUCCUCUCCCUCUUCCCUUUUCUCCCUUCUUCCUCUCCCUCUUCCUCUUCCCUUUUUUUCAUCGCCAGCGAGGGAGAAGAUGCGACGGCGGCGGCGAACCCUCUCCCUUUCCCUCUUCUUCUUCCUCUCCCUCUUUCUUUUCCUCUUCCUCUUCCUCUUCCCUCUUCUUCGUCGCCGGCGAAGGAAGAGAUGCGGCGGCGGCGCGCGGCGACGAACCCUUUCCCCCUUCAUCUUUCUCUUCCCUCUUCCUCUCCCUCUUCCUCUCCUUCUUCCUCUUCCCUUUUUUUCUUCCUCUCAUUCUUUCUCUUCCCUCUUCUUUGUCGCCGGCGAGCUCGACCCGCGCCGUUGCCGCCAUCCGCUCCGGCGGCCCGAAGAGGAAGAGGAAGAGAAAGAGAGGGGGAAGAUGCUUUUGGAGGGAUAUAUUUGUGAGGGCAAAAUGGUCAUUUCACAUGAAAACUGUUAAAAAAUAAACAGUUCUCUAACAGAUGUUAAUCAGAGGGACAUAUCUGCAUAACUUUAGACUUUUGCAGGGAUAACUUAUGGAGUUUCCGUUUUGCAGGGAUAUUUCCGCAAUUGACUAUGUUUGCAGGGACCUGUAUGCAUUUAACCCUAACUUUUAUUACUCUAUAUUUUUAUUAAUUAGGAAAUAAAAUUAAUAUAUUAUUAUUAAUUUUUAUUAUAUCAAUUAAAUAUAAUUAAUAUAAUUAAAUCAAAUUAAAUAAACACUAAUAAAUAUAAUUAAAUAAAAUAAAAUAAAAUUAGUGCAAAGUAUUUCAAAUUAAGUCAAAUUAUAUUGUUUUACGAAAUAAUAAUUAGGAAAUAAUAUGCUUUCUAUAUGCUUUCUAUAGUAAAUAGAUUUUUUUAGGAAAUAAUAAUUUGAUUCAAAUUAAAUAAACGCUAAUAAAUAUAAUUAAAUAAAAUAAAAUAAAAUUAAUGCAAAUUAUUUCAAAUUAAGUCAAAUUAGAUUUUUUUUUACGAAAUAAUAAUUAGGAAAUAAUAUGUUUUCUAUAAGCUUUCUAUUAUUAUAUUUGCUGUGCAUCGCACGGGUCAAAUAACUAUCGAUUUUUUAACUAUCGACUUGUAGCGUAUCAAUACUAUAACUAAGAUUGAUAGUAUAUUUCUUUAUUUGUUAAAAAAUAUAAUAUUAAUUAGAAUAUUUUUAUCUUAUCAUUACAUAAUAAAUUUUGUUAUUUUAUAUUAUUAUAUUAGCCGUGCAUCGCACGGGUCAAAAACUAGUUUUAAUCUAAAGUAUUAGAUAUUAUUUAUUUACACGUAGUUACAACUAUAGUAAAAUUUUAAUUAUAUGCAGAAUUAAAUAUAGAAUUUAGUUUGAGAGUUGUGCUGAUUAUUAAUAACAAUACUAUCAAUACACCAAACUCAGACAAUUUCUAUUCAUACCCGUAGGUACCCACAGAUUAUCUAUAAAUUUAUAGAUAUAAGUAUUGAGUCCGGCCGAGAUACUAUCGAUUGCAUUAAGGAUUUGGUGCUAUAGAGUUUUCCACCGUUAGAUUUAACGCUUUGAUUAUUUUUACUCGUUAUAUUAUACUAUUCAACCAACCACUCAGUCCCCUAGGGGCCCACAUCAUCCUAACCACAUAUUUCUCAAUUCAAAAGUUAAAAAACUAAUAGCACAAAUAUUUUGAUACUAUCGAUAGUAUUUCAGUCUAAUUCUAUAAAUAUCAUCUUUGUUUAUAAAAAAAAAUUAUAGAAAAAAUUAUAGAUAAACAUAUGAAUGAAUAAUCAUUAAAUUACCGGGCACGCGAUUAAUCACGCCGCUGGAUUUUAACAGAAAUAUUACACCCCAUGCACAGAGAAAUAUUGCGCCCCAUGCACAGGAAAUCUUUUUACGCAUUUGUAUGUACUUGAUUGAUCACCAUUUUUUUCUGGAGCUUAAUAAAAGUAAAAAAGUAAAAAUAAAUAAAUAAAUAAAAAUAAAUGUGGAAAAUCAAAAUGAAACUUGAUCCCCAAGUUGUCAUAUCGUAUGUACUAUUAACAUAACCUCUUAAAUUUUUUUUAUUUUUUUUUUCACGUGCAGAAUAAACAAGCGUCUCUAGCGCGGCCGCGCCCCAACUCCCCGUCUCCUCUGACGCACCCCUGCAUUUUUUUGUUUGUCGAGUAAUUGUUUCGAUCCAUAGCUUUCGCAGUAAUAUCCCACUUCAAAUUUUGGCAAUUAGAUUCAUGGGUUCUCCCUUUCACCUCCUCUGAAGCUUUUUGUUGACUCCUCCCACCCAUUUCGACGGUACAGGUUCUUUUUUUUUUUUUUUUUUGCUUUUUUUCUUGGUUUUUUAUUUGGAUUUUGUGUUGGGUUUGCUUUAUCUGUGUGUGGUGUGGCCAAAGUUGCAAUCUUUACGGUGAAAAGAUAAGAUUUUUACUACGAUUUUGCAGGGAAAUGGGGCUCGUUUCAAUCCCUUUGUUGUUUGAUUUGUGUUUGAAGAUGUUUUGCCCACCAAAUUUUGCUAGAGUUGGUAAUAAAUUAAACUGUCGACAUUAGAACUUUUUUGGUUUUGAUUUUCGUUUGUGGGAGGCCAAAGUUGCAAUUUUUUUUUUAUUUUUAUGGAUGGUUCGUUUUAUUCCAAUUUUGCAGGGAGAUGGGGCUCGUUUCAAGGCCUUUCCUGUUUCAUUUGUGUUCGGAGCGAAUAAUUUGGUGUAAAAUUUUGAGAGCUUGGUUUUGAUUGUGUGUAUUUUAGAGGGGAUAUUGGAUUGGGUCUCUAAAAGUUGUAAUAUUUUUCUUUCGUUUUCAGUUGCUGUGAUUUGUCUCCGCACAUUCCAUGCCCAGAAACUGUUUGUUGAUAAGACCAUUCUUUUUUAUCACCAUUUAACCAACCAAUUUUGCUGCAAUUUUAGUCCUACAUCAACCUUAGUAGUGUGAUUCAGGAACUUUUAUUUUUAGGAUAUUGAAUUAGCUUCGCCGAGAUGGCCAUGGCACCACCUGUGAAAGUAGUGUUAGGUUCCCUUGCCUUUGGGAUUUUCUGGGUUUUAGCCGUGUUUCCCGCGGUCCCCUUCAUGCCCAUUGGGCGCACCGCGGGCUCUCUCCUCGGCGCCAUGCUCAUGGUCAUCUUCCGAGUCAUAUCGCCCGACGAGGCUUACGCCGCAAUCGACCUCCCUAUUCUCGGCCUCCUUUUCGGAACCAUGGUUGUGUCCGUCUUCCUCGAGAGAGCUGACAUGUUCAAGCAUCUUGGCAAAUUGCUCUCUUGGAAGAGUAGAGGAGCCAAAGAUUUGCUUUUUCGCAUCUGUCUCAUCUCUGCUAUCUCGAGCGCGUUUUUCACCAACGACACUUGUUGUGUCGUUCUCACGGAAUUCGUCCUAAAAAUAGCAAGGCAGAAUAAUUUGCCGCCGCAGCCUUUCCUUCUAGCCCUCGCUUCUAGUGCGAACAUCGGGUCGGCCUCAACUCCUAUAGGGAACCCGCAAAACCUAGUUAUAGCCGUUCAAAGUGGGGUUCCGUUCGAGAAAUUCUUAGCCGGUAUCUUACCAGCGAUGCUCGUCGGUGUACUCGUGAAUGCGGCUAUCCUUUUAGGGUACUUUUGGAAGAUCUUGUCGGUCGAAAAGGACGAAGAGAUCGUGUCAAUUGCGAGUGAAGUGGUCGCGGAUGAUGAAGUGAAUUCUCACCGGUUUUCGCCGGCGACAAUGUCUCACCUUUCUUCUGCCAUGUCCCAAGAGAUUGAUUUACCGAUAGAUGCCAAUUCAUUGCACAGCGGGGAUCUCGGGUGUGGCGGUGGCGAUCAUAUCAGAAGCCAGCAUAAUACUUGUGAGAACGAGAUACAGAGCGGCUCGAGCGGCAGAACUGAGUUGACCAAGGCCUCAAGUUUAUCGAAGGAAAUGGUGGAGGGAGCGGCGAUUUCUCCUAGAAGAGACGAACACGUUCCCUCGAGGAGGAUUGUGAGAGGAACUAGCAACUUGAGAAAUACUGUAAGAGAAGAGUCCUCUUCACAUUCUUCGGAUGACAAAGAAGAUCCUGUUACAAGGUGGAAGCGAAUCAUGUGGAAGACAUCCGUCUAUCUCGUAACUCUUGGAAUGUUAGUUGCUCUUUUGAUGGGACUUAAUAUGUCGUGGACCGCGCUUACUGCUGCUCUUGCUCUAGUGGUGCUCGAUUUCAAGGAUGCACGCCCUUGCCUCGAGAAGGUAAUGCCCAUGUACUCUUUUAUUUAUUUUUACAGUUCUCUAAAAUAAUGACAAAUUUAAUCACAUUAGCCUGGAAAACUGACUCAAACAAAUGAUAUAGCAGGUUUCAUACUCAUUGCUGAUAUUCUUUUGCGGAAUGUUUAUAACGGUCGAUGGGUUUAAUAAGACGGGGAUACCAACUGCUUUGUGGGAUUUUGUGGAACCGUAUUCGCGGAUUGAUAAUGCUAGUGGAGUUGCACUUCUCGGCCUGGUGAUUAUCGUCCUCUCGAAUGUCGCCUCUAAUGUUCCCACUGGUAAGUUUUGUACAGCUGCUUUAUUAGAUAGCGAAGUUGUUUGUACUCUUCUAAUCAGCAAAACAGUUUGAAUUCAAUUAUAAAUUGGGUCUUGAAUUUCUCCAGUAGUGUUGAAACAUGCUAGAUAAUUGGCUCACAGAAGCAUCUGAAAAUCAUUUUUGUAAAGAACAUUUGUUCCAGCCUUUUCUCUUCUUCUUUUUUAAGUUUUUUGGGUCGACAUGAUUCAUUCGAUCGAUAGCUUCAAUUGUUAAAUUUUUCUGAGAUCAGCUUUAUAUGUUGUUAACUACUAAUCAUUUCAACCUUGUACUUCUUACACUCAUCUCUCCUUUUAGUGCCGAGCAGCUGGGUCCUCUGGUCCUUGUUCCGCAGAAAGAAUUUCCAUCUCCUGUCCUCGCUACAUCCUUUGUAUGCUCUGAGUUGUUAAAUUAUGUAAAACAACUAUUUCUCUAAAAGCUUAAGCUACUAGAUAACAGUGUUUUAAUAUUUAUAGCUAACACUUCACCUCACAUCUAGGCUCGAAACAUUUUGGUGGGGGCCAAGACGGACUUGAAUUGAAUGGAAGAAAAUUAAACGAAACAAGGAACUUAGUAGUGCUCGAACUCAUGACAUCCUGUUAAUUGUGUAAAACAACAUGACAUCCUGUUAAUUGUGUAAAACAACCAUUCGUAUCUAAAUGCUUAAGCUACAAGAGAAUGAUAUUUUAAUAUUUUAUAUUCAACACGAGUGUUCAUUUAUUAGAAAAUUGAGCAUAAUAUUCACCGAGUCUUGUUCAAAUUAUUAUGCACGCCAGAUUGAUAUGCAAAGCAUGACUUCUCUCAAUCUACAGUUUCUCUUGACCCAUUUCUCAUGUUCUCUUUUACUGUAACACUGAAGCUUCUUGCAACUGUGGCCUCAAGAAGCUGUUUAAAUAAUGAUUCUGGAGAUAACAAGGAAUACAUUGUAGACUUUGUAAUGCCAUAUAAUGCUAAUAGUAGGAGAGCUGGGCCUCAAGAAACUGUUUGAAUAAUGAUACUGGAGAUUUUUUCUCAAAAAAAAAAAGAUACUGGAGAUGACUUUGCAAUGCCAUAUAAAAUACUAAUAGUAGUAGAACCUCUCAAUGGCAAAAAUUUGUCACAUCCAUUAAUAUAUGUUGUUGUAUAAUUCCCCUUUACAUGCAGAUUUGUUUCUGAGGAAUUUCGCUGUACAUGCCGACCAAGUUGAAAAUACUGAUGCAUCACCGACGAUACAUUGUUUGUAAUAACUUAGUCGACAUAAUCGAUCACUUAUGCUGUGUUUCAGUUCUCUUGCUCGGAGCUAGGGUGGCGGCUUCAGCAGCGCUUAUUUCUCCUGCCGAAGAAAUGAGGGCUUGGCUUAUACUCGCGUGGGUCAGUACGGUGGCUGGGAACCUCUCUUUGCUGGGCUCUGCAGCAAACUUGAUAGUGUGCGAACAAGCGCGACGUGCCCAAUUCUUCGGCUACAACCUCUCUUUCUUUGGCCAUCUCCGGUUCGGGGUCCCCUCGACCCUCAUCGUCACUGCGAUCGGCUUGCCCCUCAUCACCAGCCACUGAUGAGCCUUUUGCGAAUGCGAUUCGAUGUUUUGUAAACUCAAAUGUUUUUGUAUUCUUGGGAUUUGCAUUAGGGAAAUAAUGUAUUUGUAAUAUGCUUACUAAUUUUAAUUGAUGCACAAUUGUUGUACUGCCGAAUAACGAAAAAGGCGGCUUUCAUUAGUUGGUUAAUUACUCUUUUAGCAUCUGGGUUUAAUUUUGCAGAGGGUUUAUUGGAUAUAAUUCUUUGAAGUUUAACCUGGAUUUCAAUUACGAUUUCGAUUAUGUCCUCGAUAGAUAUACAUAUUUCUGUGGGGUUGUUUGAUUUUACGUAAAAUUGUGAAACGUAAUUUCAGUGAAAAAUAAUUUUACGAUCUUUGAUAUUUGGUUUGUAAUAAAAGAAAAUAAAUUUUCCAUGACUCUUGUUUGGAUGAUGAAAAACGAAAAUGAAAAGGAAAUAGAAAAUUAUUCUAUAUUUUUCUUCUUCUAUUAUUUAUUAUUUAUUAAGUUUUAUAUUAUAUAUUAAUUACAUAUAAUAUUUAUCACAUUACAUUUACAUAUAAUAUUGUUAUAUAUAUAUAUAUAUAUAUAUAGAGUUGAGCUAGAAUACUCUCGAGAGUAAACAGGCUCGUUUACUCUCGAGUUGUUUUCGAUGAUAGAGCUUCCAAAUUGACGAUCGGCUCCGUUAAGCAUGAUUUAUACCACUUGAAGUGUUUAGAAAUCAAAUUUCAAAUCUUUUCGACAUCAUUUGCCUAAUGAUCAAAGGGUUUCAAAAUUUGUAAUUUUAAUGGUGGAUAAGAGACGUUUUCUCGUUUAACGGUGUAAAGAUAUCCAAAUCAAUUGAAUUUUUGUUAGAAAAUUCUUUAAACUAUUUAAAACAAGAUCUAUACUCUUGAUCUUGAUUACAAGACUCCUAUCAUCAUUUUUUAAAGAAUAUUCAUUUUCAGCCAUUCAUUUUUUGUUCACUAGAUGGAUAAAAGAACAAUAUCGAAAGUGCGUGAAAUUUGAUUUCUAGAUAGUUUAAAUGGUUUAGAUCAUAUUUAACGGAGCUGAUCGUCAAUUUGGAAGCUCUAUUAUCGAAAACAACUCGAGAGUAAACGGACUCGUUUACUCUCGAGAGUAUUCUAGCUCAACUCUAUAUAUAUAUAUAUAUAUAUAUAUAUAUUAGGAGCGGCCGGAUUUUAUUGUCAAAAACCAAGCAGCGUGCCUCACGCGGUCCACGAGGUCCACGAGUGAGCUCAUAGACCGCGUGCGGCACUUCGUGCGCCGCAUUUUUUCCUUUCUCAAGUUUUCAUUUUCACGAAAAUGCAACUUUUUUUCAAAAUCUGUGAAAUAAUUUUAUGUGAAAAUUUUUUCACACCUAACCAAACAAUAAAAAAUUCAUUUUGGGAAGGGUAAAUACCACUCCUAUGGUUUCAAAGAAAAAGAGUAUAUAUAAACCUUAAAAUACAGGAGAAUUUUGUAAGAGCAAUUCUAGUUCAAAUUUUGUUAAAAUUUAAUAUUUUAUCUUUAUUAAAUUUUACACCGAAGAGAGAUACAUACGUAAUUGCAUGUAAUUAUACAAGUGAGAGAAAGGGGUAUUUUAGUAAUUUGGCUUUGUCAUGUUGUUAGGAACCAACAAAAAAAAAAAAAAAAAAAAAANAAUUUUUUUUUUAAAAAAAAAACUAAUUUAAACCAAACCAAAAUAUCCAUUUAACAUGGGACUCACAUUUCAAUAAUCAAUUUGAUGCAUACACUCCUCACACAUGAGUAGAGCUUAAUUUAUGGGUUGGAGCAGUUCCAGUGUCAAUGUCUUUGAGGGCAAAAAGUUUAAUUUAAUUUAAUUUGGGUCCAAAACUUUCUUUUUAUUUUGUUGCUCCACCACCAACCCCAACAAUUAGGCAUCUGUUCCAACUCCCAAUCCUACUCUUUAACUAAAACUACAACCACAUCCAUAAUUAACCUGCCUCUCACUCUACCUUCUUUUGCUACUCCCACUCACUAGUAGCAGCUCACACUCCUAGUUCUAGCUCAUGUUUAUAUUAGCUGGAGCGCAAAGCGAAUUGGUAUAACCAAUAGUGUCUGUUUGGCUUAACUUCUAUUGUUGCAGAAAGCAGGAAUAAGAUUUUGAGAUCCCAAAACUUUUAUUAGUUUUGCUGCAGAGAGUUGUUGGAGGAUGUUAUUUAGUUAAUAUUUUAAUGAAUAGCGCUGUGCCCUACAACAGAAGUAAAGAGGCCCUUAUUUUAGACGUCAUUAUUUUGCCUUAUUGAAUUUAGAGCUAAGUUUGGCCGAUUAAAAUUUAAGUGCUCCAUUUGAAGUAAUAAAAGAAAUGUAUAUAUAUACUAGUCGAGUAUUAAUGAAUGAAGCAUGGGGAGGAGAUAAAAAACAUGAGAAUUAUACGUAGAAUUCCUAGUUUGAAAAAUCUCAAAUUCACAUGUCAUACUGUUGGGAUCAAAAAAUUUUGAANUUUAUAUUUGGUCUCUUAAUCGAGGGUUCCUUAACACCGAAAGUGUGGGGUAAUUAACAAUAGAUUCUUGAGUCUGUUGGAAGCCAUGAACCUAUAAUCCUGAUUUCAAAAUAAAACAUAAAUAAAUUUUAUCUCUACCAUGAAUGACCACUCGCCCUAGAAACAACCUACGGCAGGGCCGGUUCGUUCGCGGCAGACACAUACCUAGUGCAGUUGGCUGAGAGCUUGGCGGUUGAUACGAGAAAAACAGAGUUCAUCGUGGGUAUGAAAAAGAGUUUUAUGCUAAAAUUUGAGAGUUUUCCAGAGCUGGGAAGGAAAGUUUAAUUAUUAGAAGAAUUGUAGAAAGAGACCUCUACUAUAUAUUUUGGUGAGAUGAGGCAUGGAGUUGACAUAUAAAGAGGAAUUAAUUGCCUCCCAAAACCAAGAGGAGUUAGUGAUAGCCCACUAUAUCAGAGUCACAAGGCCAUUUUAAUAAUUAGAUGACUAGAGUUGGCAUUAAUUGAUCACUCUCUCCCUACUCCCAUCUACUCAACCAAAAGAUAAAAAACCCAAAAGAAGAAACAAAGGGAAAUGGAAUUGGUUGAAGUUGUUGUGGGGGGAGUAUCUGGUUACAAAAGAAAUUUAAUUAGCUGGAUUUUAGGUGCUAAUUAUCUUGUGCUAUAUAUGUAGUUAUUUCUUGAUUUCAUUAAUUAGCUAAGACAACAUUGCAAUAGAAAAGUGAUAAAUAAGUUAUAUGAUUCAGAACAACAUUUGCAAUAGAAAAGUGAGAUAUGUGAUUCAGAUUGAGUCCGUCAAAUGUAAAAAAUAUAAAAAUACUAUUCUCUGUAAAUUUAAGUUUUUGAAGAAUAAUGAUUAUUUUUAUAUAAUUUAACAUGGUAUUAGAGCAAGAGGUAGUUUCCUGAGUUCGAAUCACGCCAAGCUCCUAACAUAAUUAAUUUUUUUCUCAUUUAAUUUAAGUCCACAUGAUGGAGCUAUUAAAAUAUUUCGAAUCUAGACGUGAAGAAGCGUUUUAAAUACAAAAAUAUAAAUAUACUAUUUUCUACAAACUUAAGAGUUCGAAUCAUAUCAGGCUCCUAAUAUAAUUAAUUGUCCCCCAUUUAAUUCAAAUUCAUAUCAUGGAUCUAUUGAAAUAUCUUGAGCCCAGAUGUGAGAAAGAGCGUAAAUAUAAAAAAUAUAAAUAUAUCAUUCUCUACAAACUUAAACUUCUCAUGAAAAAUAGAAGUUAUUAGUGCCAAAUCUUUGCAGGAGGAAAUUAAUCCGCCGCAAAUUAAAAGAAUGGAAUAAUUUGCUUUAAGAACCAACCAAAUCUGUUUUUUAAAUUUAUAUUCGGCUUUACGCCAAGGAUUUUAAGAAAUUAAGUCUACAACUAAAUGGUAAAUCUUCAGUGCAUCAAAAUUAAUAUUUCUACUAUUGCUAAAUAGGUUGAGACUAAAUCACAAUUACGUGAAUCCAAACACCUCCUAAUUAAUUAACUCUCACAUUAUUAAUUAAUACCCAUUCACCUUCUCUCUUUCUAUACUUUUCUUUUAUUAUUUUUUUAAUAGUUUCACACACAAAAAAAAUUGUACUCCCACCUCUUUAAUUUAUUUGUGAGUUUCCUCAUUUUGGGCAGUGCAGCUUCCCUUAACAGUCUUUCACCACUCCAUAUUAUAAAGUUUGUGUAACGUUCAAUUAUAUAUAUAUAUAUUAUUAUUAUAUAUAUAUAUAUAUAUAUAUAUAUAUAAUAUAUAUAUAGAGUUGAGUUAGAAUACUCUCGAGAGUAAACGGCUCGUUUACUCUCGAGUUGUUUUCGAGUAGUAGAGUCUUCCAAUUGACGAUCGGCUCGUUGACAUGAUUUACACUUGAAUGUUUAGAAAUCAAAUUUCAAAUCUUUUCGACAUCAUUUGCCUAAUGUCAAAAGGUUUUCAAAUUUGUAUAUCUUAAUGGUGGAUAAGAGACGUUUUCUCGUUUACAGUGUAAAAAUAUCCAAAUCAAUUGAAUUUUUUUAGAAAAUUCUUUAAACUAUUUAAACAAGAUCUGAUACUCUUUAUUCUUGAUUACAAGAACUCUAUCAUCAUUUUUAAAGAAUAUUCAUUUUCAGCCAUUUAUUUUGUCUGUUCACUAGAUGGAUAUAAAAUGAAUAUCGAAAGAUGCGUGAAUUUGAUUUUAGAUAAGUUAAAUGGUUUAGAUCAUAUUUAACGGACAGCUGCAUUGUCAAUUGGAAGCUACUAUCAUACGCAAAACAACUCGAAGUAAACGGGCUCGUUUACUCUGCGAGAGUAUUCUAGGCUCAAUCUAUAUAUAUACCUAAUUUAUAUAUAUUAUAUAUUAUAUAUAUAUAAUUAUAUAUAUAUUAUAUAUAUAGAGUGAGGCUACUAUCUAUCGGAAGCACGGAGCCUCUCGUGCUUCCAACUCGUUUCGAAUGUUGUGACUUCGAAUCGUCGAUCGGCUCCAGUUAAAUUUGAUCCUAGAGUAUUGAGGGGUACUUAGGAAAUAAAUUUUAUGAUUUUACGAUUCAUCAUUUGCCUUGAGGAACGAAGGGCUCAAAAUGCAACGCUGAAAAUUCAAAACUCUUACAAAAAUGUAUAAUACGAAUUAAAAAUUUAAUAUCAAAGAUAUGAUCUUGUAUUUAUAUAGUAUAAAGAGAAUUUUCCUAUCAAAAAGUUACAUGAUUUGGAUAUUUCACAACCGUUAAACUUGCAAACGGGCCACUACGGCUUUUAAUCCAUUGUUGAUUUUGAUCCCAUUACGAAUCGACUAGGCAAAUCGAUAUCGAAAAUAAUAAAAUUUAUUUUCUAGGUACUCCAAAUACUCUCGAUCAAGUUAAGAAGCGAUCGACGAUUUAGAAAGUCGCAAAUCCAAACGAUGGCGGAAGCACGAAAGCUCCGUGCUUCCUAUAGCAUAGUUACCUCACUCUAUAUGUAAUAUAUGAGAGGGCCUGACUGUGUCUCAGGAAGCACGGAGGCUCUGUGCUCCUGAGCCGUUUUCGAUGUGAUGAGUUUUCGAAUCUGCAUUCGCAUCCGUUAGACUUAGAUCUACAGCUAUUUAAAGUUCUAGAAAAUAAAUUUUUGCGAUUUUUUCGAUAUCAUUUACUAGCAAUCGUUAAAGGAUUCAAAAUCAAAAUUUUAAAGGCUGAAAUAGAACAAUACUAUAAAAAGUGGUGAUAUAGCACUAAAUUUCGAUCAGAAAUAUAGAAUCUUGUUGUAAUAGUAUAAAGAAUUUUCUAUGACAAAUUUCUCUGAUUUGAAUUACUCUACACCGUUGUAAACGUGAAACGCGGGCAAAUUAUCAACAUGUAAAAUAUUAUGGAUUUGUAAUCCUUUCGGACACUGGUAAAUGAUUCUACGAAAAUCGUAAAAAUUAUUUCGUAGAAACUUCAAAUGCGCUAGAUCAGUCUCACGGAGCGAUCGUCGUUCGAAAAUUCCAUCAUCGAAAAACGGCUCAGGAGCACCGGAGGCCUCCCCGUGCUCCUGAGAGCCAGAGUCGCAGUCCUGCUUAUGAUAUUUAUAUUAUAUAUAGAGAGAAGGAGAGAAGAGAGGAGAGAGGCUAACGUUUUCGAUAAGCAACGGAGAUUUUAUACUUACAAAUGGAGGUCAAUGCAUACCGGAUACCACAAUUUUAUCCGACCCGAACUUUAAUGGAGCGAAUUUAUCUAUGCUGAAUUGAAUAUGCGGUUCGGGGAUAUGAAAUUCAAAAAUAAAAACCGAACAGACUACAAAAAAAUCUUGCACUUAAGUACACUUUAAACAAAUUAAUUAGCGACGAUGUCAAUGGAUACGGAUACCCGAAAUUGUAUCCGAACCCGAACUUUUAAUGCGAGGCAUUGUACUAUGCUGAAUGAAUAGGUUUCGGAUAUGAAUAUCAAACAUAAAAACGCAAGACUAUUAAAAAAUCUUGCCUUGAAGACACUUUAAACAAGAAUAUACGACGCUUUAAAGCGUCGGCAAAAUAUUCCGACGUUGAAAAGCGUGAGCAAAGAGUCGUUAAUAAAAAUAUCGGGAUAAAUAGUUUACCGAUGUUUUAAUAUAGCGUCGGAAAAUUUUUAAAAAUAUUUAUAAAAAUUGUUUAUUAGCUGACGCUUAUUAUAGUGUCGCGCAAUACCGAAUAUUAAAGACGGCUAGAAUAAAGCGUCGUUUAAAAGCUGUCGUCUACACAAAUUAUAUAUAUUAUAUUAUAUAUAAUAUAUAUAAAAUAUAUAUAAUAUAUAUAUAUAUGAUUAUACUAUAUUAGAGCAGGGCUGCUGUGCUCUGCAGGAGCGGAGCUCCGUGCUUCUGAGCCGAUUUUCGAUGAUCGGAGUUUCCGAAUCGGACGAUACGGGCUCGUUAAACUUGAUGUAGCGUACUUUAAAGUUCUAGAAAAUAAUGUUUGCGAUUUUUCGAUAUCAUAUCCUAGCAAUCGAAGGGAUAAAAAUCAAUAAUUUUUAACGGGGCUGAAAUAAAAUCCUAUAAAAAGUGGUUGAUGAUAGCAUUAAAUUAUCGAUCAGUAAAUAUUAGAUCUUGUUGUAGCUAGUUAAAGAAUUUUCUAUCAAAAUUUACAUUUGAUUGAAAUACGUCUACAGUUAAACUUGAAAACGGCAGAUAUCAACCAUUAAAAAUUAUAGAUUUUGAAUCCUUUCGAUCACUAGGUAAAUUGAUAAUCGAAAAAUCGCAAAAAUUAUUUUCUAGAACUUUAAAUACGCUAGCAUCAAGUUUAACCGAGCCGAUCGGUCGAUUCGAAAACUCAUCAUCGAAAACGGCCAGAUGAGCACGGACGUGCUCCUACCGUCUCCUGAGAGCACAAGCAGCCCUGCUCGAAUAUUAUAUAUACUAGAGGGUAUAUAUAUUAUAUAAUAUAUAUAUAUUAUAUAUAUAUAUAUAUAUUAUAUAAUGGAUAUCAUAUAUGAAUUUUGACAUGUACCCGAUCACAACCCGACCAAACCCAAUCGAACCCAAAUUUUUUUAAUUAUACAUAAUAUGUAUAUAAAAUUUGAUAUUAUAUUUGAAUUUAUAUUUUAAAAUUUUAAAUUUAAUAUAAUAUAUUUUGAAAUAUUGAAAAGAGAAAUAAUUGUUUCGGGUUCGGAUUUUCGGGUUCGGGUUUGGGUUUCGGGUUUUUGGUCGGGUUCGGGUUUUGGAUAUGAAUUUUUAAAAUCCGUCAGAUUUGGGUUCAGGUUCGAGUUCGGGUUCGAGUUCUGGUUUCGGGUUUGGAGUCGGGUUCGGAUAUUUUAAAAUCCGUCCCGAAUUCGACCUGUUGACAUUCCUAUUUAUAAAUUAUUUUCGAUAAUAAGACAUCUGAUUCGACGAUUGGCUCCAUUAGACAUGAUCGACGCUAUUAGAAUUAUUUAAAAAUCUAUUUUCAUAAUUUUUUGAUUUUAUUUGCCUAGUGAACGAGUAGUCUCAAAAUGAACUGUUAAAAAUAAAAAUCUUAUAAAAAAUAAUAAUAAAAUAUUUAAAUUUCAAGUCAAAAGUAUUGUUUUUACUUUUGAUGUUAAGUAAAUUUUUUUAUUAAAGUUUUAUAUAAUUUGAAUUCUUCUACACCGUUGAACUUGCAAACCUACCACAUCGGUCGUUAAAAUAGUCAUUUUUUAGACUUUUUGAUCACUUGUUAAAUGAUAUCGAAAAGUUAUGAAAUUUGGUUUCUUAAUAAUUAUAAACGUAAAUCAUACUUAACGGAGCCGAUCGUCAAAUCGGAUAUCCCAUAAUCGAAAACAACCUAGCUACAAGUAUGGCGACAUUCGUGCUUUCGAAAGCGCAGAAGACGUACUCGAUAUAUAUAUAUAUAUAUAUAGAGCAGGACUGCAGUGCUCUUAGGAGCACGGAGCCCUCCGUGCUCUUGAGCCGUUUUCGAUGAUGGGACUCUCAAAUCGACGAUCGGCUCCGUUAGACUUGAUCUAGUGUAUUUGAAGUUUCUAGAAAAUAAUUUUUGCAAUUUUUCGAUAUCAUUUACCUAGCAAUCGAAAGGAUUCAAAAUCAAUAAUUUUUAACGGCUGAAAAUAAAAAUCCUAUAAAAAGUAGUGAUAUAGCACUAAAAUUUUCGAUCAUAAAUAUUGAUCUUGUUGUAGACAAUAUAAAGAAUUUUGUAUCAAAAUUUUAUCUAAUUUGAAUGCUUCUACACCGUUAAACUUGAAAACGGCAGAUAUCAACCAUUAAAAAUUAUUGAUUUUGAAUCCUUUCGAUCACUAGGUAAAUGAUAUCGAAAAAUCGCAAAAAUUAUUUUCUAGAGACUUCAAAUACCCUAGAUCAAGUCUAACGGAGCCGAUCGUCGAUUUGGAUGUCCCAUCAUCGAAAACGGCUCAGGAGCACGAAGGGCUCCAUGCUCCUGAGAGCACAGCAGCCAUGCUAUAUAUAUAUAUAUAUAUAUAUAUAUAUAUAUAUAUAUAUCGUGUAUUGGUGUCAUUAGAUUUUCAGUCCUUGAUGAAGAAAUGUGUAGUUAGGACGAUAGUGAUUCUUUAGAGUUGAGUAGAUGGUUGGUUGAAUAGUACGAUCUAAUGGAUGAAAAUGAUUAAAAUAAUUAAUCUAAUGGUGAAAAAAUUGAUAGCACUAAGUGCUUUGUGCUAUUAGAAGCAAUCCGCCCAAACUAUAUCUGCACAAACGUACGUGCACCAUCAACUCAAAUUUUUUAAUAAAAAAUAUCUCGUAAAAUUAUAAAAUAAGAUAGUUUAAUAAUGUAAAAAAAAUACAGAUUAAAAUGAAGAAAAUCUAAUCCCUCCUUCUAUGUCUCUUCUAUUAGUUAAUCUGCACCUAAUUUCCCCUUAUCCCUUCCUUAGUUAAAAGUCUAUUUAUAUAUAUAUGCUUUGAGCAUAUAGAGAGAGAGAGUGCUUGUAAACGUAGGCAUUGGUGGACUAAUUCACGGCUUACUCUUCACAAGAGGAAAAAGCCAUCCUUUGACCUCUCUCUCUCUCCCCCCUCUCUUUCUAUUUAUCUCCAUAAAAUUAUAUAAUAAAUUAAGAUUCUUCCACAUAUACACAUAUAUAUAACAAAUAUUAUUGUUUCCAUUCCUUCCACUCCAUCCACUCUCUCCUCUCAUCACUCUCUCUCUCUCUCUCUCUCUCCUCUCAAUAUUCUCCUCUAGUGUUGUUCUCUUCUUGUUCUUCAUGGGCACCCAAGAAGAAGAAGAAGAAGCCAUGGAUUGUAGCACUACCAACAAAGACGCGAACGGCGCGUUCGACUACGAAUUCGCUGCGGUCGCGGUGGCGGUUACGAAGGGCAAGCGAACCAAACGCUGGAGGAUUCAUCCCCCGCCGUUCGACUACGAAUUCGCUGCGGUCGCGGUGGCGGUUACGAAGGGCAAGCGAACCAAACGCUGGAGGAUUCAUCCCCCGCCCCCUCAGGUGCCAACUGCUGCAGUUGAGCCUGACUCCUCCUCCUCGUCAGACUCGUCGGCUGCUGCUGCUGCAGCUGACGAGGAGGAUGAGGAUGAGCUAGACAUGGCCAACUGCCUCAUCCUCCUCGCGCAAGGCCACCGUGCCGAGCGCUCUGAGCCCGACCCGGGCCCGACUCCGUGCGACACCUACAAGUGCAGGACCUGCGACAAGCGCUUUCCCUCGUUCCAGGCCCUCGGCGGCCACCGCGCCAGUCACAAGAAGCCGAAGCCUUCCCCGCCGCCCGCAGCCAACGAAGAUGUCCAGCGGACGAGUGUAGAUUCUUCUUCCUCUAAACUGGCGACCGCCGCCGCAGCAAACAACAACAACAACAACAACAACAACAAUUCGAGGGUGCACGAGUGCGCGAUAUGCGGGUCGGAGUUCAACUCGGGGCAGGCGCUCGGCGGGCACAUGAGGAAGCACCGGCCACUGGGGGUCGUUCCUGCCGCGGCAGGGCCGGCGGUGCCGCCGGCGGAAGAAGCAAAGAAUAAGGAGAGAAUUCUUCUAUCUUUGGAUCUCAACCUCCCCGCGCCUGCCGACGACGACAGCGCCGGCGGCAGCAAAGAGCUCCAGAGGGCGCCGCCUUUCGGACUGUCGAACAACCCGCCGCCGAUGAUCUUCUCGGCCUCCUUGGUCGGUUGCCACUACUGAAUGAAUUCAUUGUUUCGACUUUUUGUUCAUUUUAGGUUUAAAGAUAUCGUGUACAACUUACCUUGAACAAAAUUUGGUUUUACUACACAAAUUUUCAAUUGUUUGAUUUGAAUCAAUCAGUAGUAUUUUGACUUCAAAAUUUGAAAAUAUUAUUAUCUUUACAAAUUUAGUUAGCAUGCUUCAUAUAAUUCUCGCAACUAUGAAUUUAUUAAAAUAAAAAUUUUGAAAUUAAAGUAUUAUUGACUAAAGCAAAAUCAAAUAAAUUGAACAAAUUUGCUCAAAUUUGCUCAAAUUUGCUCUUGUGUGUGUGUGUGUGUGUGUGUAUGUGUGUAAAGGGUUGGGAACUAAAUGGAGAGAAGUGUAUGUGAAUUAGUUUUGAUAUACUUGUGUAACUUUAAUUUGCAAUUAGCAUUAGAUUCUUUGUAUUCAUUCCAUGGUAUAUGUUAACACUUUAUGGAUCCUUAGUAGUUUAGUUUGGGAUGUUCAAUUACUUCUUUGGUGAAAAGGAGAGGAACCUCCACGCGCGUUCACGUAAAGGGAGUGAUCUCUCUCUCUCUCUCUCUCUCUAUAUAUAGAGAGAGAGAGAGAGAGAGAGAGAGAGAGAGAGAGAGAGAGAGAGGGGUAGAUAAGUUUGGUUACUCUACCACCAAGAAAAGGGCAAGGGAUUAGGUUCCUCCUCUCCCAUGAGUUUGUUUCGUUUUUAAGACAACUAUACUAAUAGUUGCCAAGUGAUAUUCGACAACUAGCCAAAGUUGGUAACUGCUACUUUUAGACCCCAUAAAGGAUCUAUAGAGAAAUUGAUGGUAGGAAUAUUUCAAAAUUAUAGAUAAUGAAUCAAUUUUUUGAUAUCAAUUCUGAUAAAUUAAACCACAUACAAAAUGUUAGAUUAAUUCUAUUUUAGAAGAGAGAGAUCCUGCUAGAUCAUACAUAAUAAAGCUUUCAAGUGCAAUCCUUAUAAUACUAUUCAAAUUGUCAAUGAUAUAUUAAACCGUAUGUAAAUGUGAACCAAUUUAGUUAUACAUACCAUAUAUAUAAUUGUCAAUACAUCAGCGAUUUUUCGCAACUGUACUACACUUCGCACUUUGUUCUAUUUAAUAUGAAUACGGAUACAUCCCAAUCUUUCUCUCUUGGUUGAUCUCAUGUUCAACCAAUAUCUAGGGCCAAAGAGUUCUAGUAGUGUAAGAUUUGGCCACUUCAUUGCAUUAUUCUCCAAAAUACUUUUUUUUUUUCUCUCUCUCUGUUGUAUAUACACUGCUUUAAUUUAUAUACAUAUACCCCCAAGGAAGCUAUAGAUGAACUGUAUCCAUUAAUUAAUAAAUCAUUACACAUAGACAUAUCUUUAGACCUUGCCAAAAAAAAAAAAAUCAUUAAUUGUCAUGACCAAAACAAAGACUCCAUUAAUUAAUAAAUCAUUAAUAAUAUAUUUAUUAAUUAAGUUGUGGAUAUUCACAUAUAUAUAGCUGUUCCAAUUAGUUUAAGCCAGUAUUAGAUAUUAUGUCAUUUGUUUAAUGUAUAACCAAGUUGGUGGGUUAAGCUUGUACGCUUAUUAAUUAAUUAAUGUUAGCUUAAUUUGUGAGUGUAAUUAGAUGCACGUUGUGGGAGUGAGAUUAUAGUGUGUUUGACAUUGCCACAUGGGAGUUGGGAUCCUCAUUAUUAUUAUUAUUUUUUUAUUAUUAUGUAUCAACUCCCAUUACUCUCAUCAUUGAGAGUAUGUUUCGUGUCUAUGUACUAGAUAUAUAUAUAUACUUCAGUAUAGGGUAAAUUAAUUGUGCCAUUACUCCAUGAAACUUAAUGUUCACCAUUAUUUUGUUCCUCAAACUUUUAAAUUACACUGUCAUUUUAAAAGUAUAUUUUUAGUUGAUUUAGUCUUAUUUUCGAUUUUUGUUACAUGAAUUAAAAUUAUUAUUUGCACAUACUGCGUGACACCCUAAGGCUUGAAAUAGUUUCAUAUCGAAUAGUUAUAGACUUAUGACUAGGUGUAAGGACAUAUAAGCCUGAAUAGAUUAGACUCAAUAAUUGAGCUAUUGAGCUAUAACAUUUUAGACUAUUGGAUUGGGCCCAACAAGUUACCGAAUCUAUAAUAUCCAGUUAAUCGAAUCGCAGGCUGAGUGAUGAAUGAUUCCUUGGAAAGUAGUUUGUGACAAUUUAGCAUCAAAGUAAUCACUAAAUUGGAAGUGUGAGAUGCUUCUCAACUGAGUGAAAAUUAUACAAAUACAACUCUCCCAGAACUAAUUACUAACCGAAGAUGAACCGACCGUCCCUAAAGCAAGUGGCAAAGGGCUUGGUGGUUGGUUUCCGAGACCUAAGUUUGAAUCAUAGUUGAUUCACAUUUCCAGCUAAAUUUAUUUCUAAAUGAAAUAAAACGAAGCGGAUAGCGUGCUACCUACCUCUCAAAAAAAAAAAAAAAAAAACCAAAAGAAGAUGUGAGAUGAGUCUCCAGUGAGUUAGAAUCAUAUAGCUCUCUCCACAAUGAGUCUUGACUAAAUCACAAUUAUAUAACUCUCUCCACGACGGUCAGCUGAAAAUGCGAGAUAAAUUUCGACUAAGUUAGAAUCAUAGUGCAAGACGAAUCACAUAUAGCUUAGUAAUUAUGAGUUUUCUAGUCUGACUAUAAAAUUUUAUGUGGUGAUUAAGUCCAUAAAGGCCCUUUGAAACCGGGGUGUCAAAUACUGCGUACACCAUGCACUAGUUCCACGGUUCUUGAUCGCAUAUCAUAUUGCUCUCUCCGAGCUAAUCACUAACUGAAGGUGUGAGAUAAGUCUCGACUGAAUCAGAAUCAUAUAGUUUUUUAGUAAGUGUUAAUUUCUACUAAAGAACUUUUGAGUUGCACCUCUCUUUUCCAUCUCGAAAUUGAGUGGUUUGGAACGUGAAACGGUGAAAGUACAAAACAACGGGGAGUACAAUAGAUGCAGAAAAAAUUACUUUUCCUAGUGCAAGAUUUCUGCAAAACAUAAAAUAUAAAAAAUAUUGUUUUAUGAUAAUUUAAAUUUUAGAUAACUAGUUACUUAAAUUACGCAUAUUAUUUGAAUAGCAUAUCUCGGAUUCAAUUUUCAUUUUCUUUAAAUUUAAAUUCACGUGUUGGUCCAGUCGUUUAUUAUAAAUUUCAUUUGCAUUAUUGUUUGAAUUUCUAAUAAUUAAUUACUUACCUCAAUAUGUGUGUAGAAUAGUUAAGCUUAUUAAGCUUGUUUAGCACUCUUAGGAAAUUAAAGAGAGCUUCACUUGCACUAUCAUUAAAGUCAAGAUCUUAUUAAAUUAAAUUAAAUUAAAUUAAAUUAUGUACAAAAGUCGUUUGCGUUACAACUAUAAAAAGACCCCUUCAAAGUUCAAAUUCCCUCUUUUUUUUUUAUUUUGACUCUUUACUUAGAAUUAAAGGUAAAAAUGUAUGGAGACACCCCUCAAGUAUAGCACUUUUUGAGACGAACCCUCAAUUUUACUCCCCUUUAACUUUAUAUUCUCUGAAAUUCAACGACUUUAGCUAAAAAAAUUACAAAUUUAAUCAAAUUCAUCAUUGACUCUAUCAAUAAAAUAGAUCAAUUAAAAAUUUAACUUAAUUAAUACGAACAAUUCAAAUCAAAAGAGUUAGAAGUUAAAAAAAAAAAAGAAAAAAUGUUAAGCUAUCGAUUUCAAAUUUGUGUAUAGCUAAGAGCCACCGCCUCGUUCAUUUUUUUUUAAAAAAAUUUAAUUAAAAAUACGAACCAAGUAAGGAGUUGUUUGGUUGGACGUGGCUAUAACUACAGUGUAAUUAUAACUGCAUGCAAAUUUAAAUCUGCCAUUUAGCUUUUUGCAUUUAAAUCCAACUGCUGUAAUUAGAAUCGCACGAGCAAGGAUGCUCAAAUGUAGUAGUUGAAACUACGCCCAGGUUAAUCAUUAUUUUACCUGUAAUAGUUGGAAAGAGUAAUAUUAAACAAAGAUAAAUUUUACCACCCUAAUAAUCUCAUCAUUACAUAUAUAAAAAAAUAAAACUUUAAUAAAUACACUUGUCAACCACACAUAAUAAAAUAUUUAUAAUUGUUGGAUUUUAUGAUACAUUCAAUCAAAUAAAAUAUAUAUAAAUAUAACUGUUAUAUUUUUAAUCAUGUGCGUCUUGAACUACACUGCAUUUAUAAUCAUAUCCCGCCAAACAGCUCGUUAACUUGGAACUUUAACACUUUCAUAAGCAAUCAUCAAGCUUUUCGUCAAUUGUACUAGUGAGGAACGGUUCUUGAUACAUUGGAUCAAAGCAAAUGUAUGACAUCACCGUAAAUCGUUGCCGACCGACUUCUAAUUAAUAGUGUAAGCGUACUUCCAUAUACAAGUGGCUUUGUCGAGGCCAACUAGUAUUGGCAAUUUGGCAAUUACCACAAAAAAAAAAAAGAAAAAAAAGUGCGGACGGUUGCUAACGUCAGACCAUCCCAUCUGUCAUUCAUGUGGCUUUGAGAUUCGUGUGUUUACAUCGUGGAUGACAAAUAAGAUGGUUUAAUUCGGAAAUUAGAAUUUCGGGCGUGUUUGUUUUGUCGAGAUCAGAAGAGGAGGUGGCACUAUUUUGGCUGUAGGCUUGAUCUUGUCUUCACUGCGAUAGGAUAUCGCAGACGAAGUUGCACUUCCAUAUCAUACACGAAAUUGGGGCUGACACUUACAGAUCGUACGCUUUCAAUUGCUUUCGGUGUUCGAUAUCUAAAUUUGUUAGUCUUUUCUAAACAUCCGCACUCUUGAUGGGAUAAGAUAGGUCAAAUUUAUGACCUCUUAGUUGUCAUUUCUUCAUAUUUACAAAGUUUAAAUUUGUUGUUUGCAACAAAUAUAACUUAUCAGACCAGCUUAAGUUAAAAAUUUGACAAAUUUGAGUCCAUACCAGUAUAGUAUAUAGUCAAAAAUUUUAGAAAUGAUGUGGUUUCUUAUUUUUCAAAAUUCUAAUUCACCAUUUCAUUUUUUGAUUCGUUUUAUUUAAAUUUAAAUUAAGCAAAUGGAAAAUAAUUUAUUUUCCUGGGGGUGGUUUUGGCGCGCUUCUCCCGAAAGGGGCUCGUCUUAGCUUCGUCUCUCUCUCUCAACCUAAAACCCUAGGCGCGUUCGCGAGAGGAUUUUUAGGGCGAAUCGAAGAGGAGGAGGAGGAGGACGACGACGAAGAUGAAGAGGCGAUCGGCCGUGGCCGACGACGACGACGAUGACCCCCUCGACUUCGAGGAGGAGGAUGCGCUCCUCAACGCCACCCCUCGCGUCGCCUCCAAGAGGUUUGAAACCCUAAUCCCCUUCUUUUUCUCUGGCCCCCUUUCGUGUUUAAUCCCUCGGAGUAGUAUCAUCGGAUGGAAUUUAUUUGCGAAAAUAACGCUUAAUUGAUUAGUUUUUUUUGGAUUUUGAGAGUGAUUUGAAGGGUGCCCGCGUUUUAUUUAGGGUUUUAGAGGGUUGCUAUUCGGUAAAGAAUUCAUCUUUUUCGCCUCUUUUUUGUUUGCGAAAAGAACGUUUAAUUGAUUAAGUUUUUGGAUUUUUAGAUCGACUUGAGUGGUGCCUUCGUUUUAUGUUUGGGGCUAUAAAGGGUUGCCAUUUGGUAAAAUUUUCAUCUUUUUUGGCUUCUUUUUGCCUCCCCUUUGUUUCUAAAUUUCAAAGUUAUGAGACGGAUUUGAGUUUCUCAUCAAAAAAAAAAAAAAGGAAAAAGAAAAGAUGGAUUCGAGUGUUACCCACAUUUUAUACAGGGUUUUUGGAUUUAAUUUGGAAAAAUAAGUUCUAAUCUAUUGAUAGUUUAAAUUUUGAUAUAGGUUAGGAGCAACACAAUUUGUAUGUGGUUUUAAAGAGAUUUCAGAUGGAAUGGGCUUGGAAAAAAGAAAAAAUCUAAACUUUCAAACUAUAGCUACUUUGUUAAAAAUGCCGAUGUAUGUUGAAGCAAAAUAGUGAUAAGAAUAAAGGAUUUUAAAAUUUUUGGCAAUAUUUGGUAUCCCAUUGGUGGUAAAAAAAAUGCCCAAAAUUGUGUAUAUAGUGUUCAGCAGGGCUGGUUUCGUAUUAGUAUUUCAUAAUUUUUUUUUUCUUUUAUCUUGUACAGGAGAAAGGCUAUUGGUUUGGAUGAUCUUCUUUCUGAAGUUUACAAGGAGAAAAAUAAACUUAUGGGUUGUAACCCUGCGCGAUCAAAUGCACCCAAAGGCUAUAAUUCAGAUGAAGAUGAUAAAAAGACACAAGAAAACGAGAUCACUUUCUGCAAGUUUGUUGACGAUUGCGAGAAACAAGCGAGUACAUUAAAACUUAUUUUCUCGUUGAGUUAAUCUAUUAGUUUCUGCACAAUUUGUUAUGCUCUCUGUAUGCCUGUAGGUGAAUGAGAUAGGUUCUGAAGAUGAAGUUCCGGAAUGGGGUCAGAAAGUUUUUGGAUUACAGGUGUGUAUGACCCUAAAAUUAAUGUUCUAAUUCUCUAAUGAUGUUUGCUUUAUUAUUAUUGUUAUUUUCAGCUUAUUUUGCAACUGAUUGGUUAUUUACUGUGAUGUGUUACAGAAAUCUCCAACAUCAUUGGGGCGUACAGGGCUUGAAAAUUGUCAACUUUUACAGUCUUUUACUGAAAAUAGUCUCGCUCAAAUUUUGGGUGUGAAUGCUGAACAAGGUACGAAAUAACACUAGUAGCCUAAUCUAUAAUGCUUUUAGGGAUUUAUUUUUUUUUUUUAGGUUUUUUCAUUGCUUUGUUGGUUAGAAUUUUGGAGGCCUCCCUGCCUUGUAUAUAUAUAUAUAUGUAUGCAUCCUUUUGCAUGCUCUUGUGAUUGGUAUUUUUGCUUCAUGUUAGGUUAUGCAAAUGAUAGCGUGAUAUUUGCUUUUUAUGUGUAUUAAGUGGCUUUUAUUGAAAUCUAAUGUGUUUCCUGAGGUAUGCCCUCUAUAUUUCCUUUUUCUCCUUUCAUCUGUGUGAUUGUUCUUAUCUUCUGUAAUCGUUGUUUGUUUUCUCAAGGACCCAACAAUCCUUUAUUUUCGUGCUCAUUCACAUUUAGAUGAGUAAUGAGACUAUUCUCUCUGUUAGAAAGCGCCAAAUCGCUUUCUGUAAAUACAAUAUGAUUUUCUGGUAGUUACCUAGCCAUCCUUUGAUCUGUAAUGAUGUCAUUUUUUAUCCUUCUUUUAAAAUUGAGCAAAAGUUUUGAAUGUGAAUUUUCUUUAACUACUUUAAUUCCAAUCAUGCUGGUGUAGGAGAGACCUUUCUGAAAGGCUUGUUGAUGAAUGGAUGGCUUUCAAAAUUAGCCUUCAGAAGCGGUCUUGUCGAAGAAUCUAUUGCGCGUUGGUCAUUUCACACAAGUCAGCCAUUCUAUUUGUUAACUUUUCGACAUUUUCUCUGUUUGUUGAGAUUACAUUAUUAUUUCGUAUUCUUAUCGUUUUUUGGCUAUCAGUGUUAUACUCUUUGAAUGAGGAGUUGCAGGUUUCUGCAUGUGAUUUUUGGUGUUGCAUUCUUCAAUCCAGAGAUGAGGUAUAUUAUUUAAUUGAGAUACUUAGCGUGCAUGCCCUUGCAAACUAUCUAUUACAUAUAUACCCUUGGAAAAUGUGAAAAUUUGGCCCUUCAAAAACUAAGAAAAAUAUUACCUAUAUAUGCCCUUGUACUUGCAAAUGCCCCUCGAAGGAGCUUAUACUGCAAAACCAAUUUAUAAGCAUAUUUUGUGAGAAACUGCACUUUACAGGGUAUAAAUGUAAGUCUUGGUUUUGCAGGGGUAUGUAUGUAAUUAGAUGAAUUCUCAACAUAUAUAUGUAAAAAGUCCUAUUUUAUUUUUGUAUCCUGUUUAUUUCCAUGUUCUAUUUAAGUUUCCUUUUCAUCUGCAGGCUAAUCAGCCAUUGGUAAGACUUGGAUGGUAUCCUAACUAUUCCGCGCUAAAGGAUGCUCUAUUAAACUAUGGUUAUCUAUUUGAUACCACUAGUAAUUGCUCUUCAACUUCUGAAGCUUCCUCUGCAGGUUAGUCAAUUUCGAGGUUAUCCAAUCUUGAUUGUCUAUUUCUCUCUUUCACCUAGCUUUUCCUUUUUGUCUUUUUUUCCCCUUUGUCUAGGCCUCAAUUAUUUGGAUGCUUUUUUGUUAUUAUUCAACAUUUGCUAGUUGAUUAAUGUGUUAUGCUCUUCUGCUUGACAUAUCCAGAUUCUGAAUGUGACGGGCCACCCGCAAACAUUCUUUCAUGGAUAAGAGUUUUAUCUGCAUGUUUUCAACUCAGGUAAUUCCGGAGAACAAGUUGAUGUGUUUGUAAUCUAUAUAAUUUUGACUACACAUGCGGUAAAUACCAUCUUUUAAGUGACGAAAACGUUGUGGUAUUGUUAGGUUAUUCAAUGCUAUAUCUGUUAAUUUGACUAAUUUGUGAAUAUUGUUUGUACGAUAGAAAUGGCCGGACUAUAUUUAGUACUUCUGAAGCAGAGGAUUUUCUCAUCAUAGUUAUUUGCCUGUUUCUGGACCGGAAGCUUGUAGGCAUUACAUCUAUAUUGAGCGAAUGCUUGCAAUCAAUUAUCGGUUCCUUUAGCGACAGCCAAUGGGAUGAGAGCUGUGUGAAAGUUGCAGAAUCUAUUGCUCACAGGUAACAAUUGAAACAAUAUUUACUUCAGAGUUACUGAGCUUUGUUUAUCUAUUGAAAUUCAGAAUAUCUUAUGGUGUGUAGAAUCAGGUAUGAGUGCUCAUUGUCCUUCACGAGUUGAAUACACAACUAGAUAAAUUUAUGUGAGAUGGGUACAAAUUAAGUUCUGAAGUUUGAUGAUGAUUUUUAAAUUUACGCCCUCAAGAGUUUCAAACAUAACAAGUGAAGUGUCUCAUGCUAAUUAUUAAACGUUAUGUUAAUCUAUCAUUGGAAAAAAGUCUACGUCAAUAUUACGUUUUGAGUUCAAUUUUCAUAAGGACUUAAAUUGUUACGCAGGGAAAACUUUGGAGGCCAAAUUAGUAUACUUGAAUCUUGGACAGUGUAAUUGAAAUUGGGAUCAAACUUGGGUAGUUUAACUGCCGUGAGGUUACUAUUUAGCUAUAGAACUUGAAUAGAAAUCAUAGUAGCAGCUAGUUUUGAAUUGAAGUUGAUUCUGUAGUCUUUGUUGUAAAAUUUUUGCUUGUCUUGUUAGGUGGCUGCUUAGAUUAGUCUUAUAUAAUAUGCAAGGCAUAGUAGCAGUCUGGAGGAUCCACCUACUUUUUUCGUUGCAUAACUGCAGCAGCUCCUCAUAAUUUCUUCAAUAGCAAACCCUUCACUAGAAUAGACCCUAAAACCUGCUGUAAUAAUUUUCUGCCCCAACCUUCAUUUGGUUUUUUCACUGAUUGACUGAUAUAAAUUGUCGUUCUACUAUUAACUGCAGAGUUCCAAAGGACCUUAAUUGCUUACGAAUAGUCGAAUGCAUUUCCGGGCUUGAUAAUCGCAAUAAGCAUCUAAGAAGUCAAUUGGCCCUUCAAAUGCUUAGGAUAAGCUUUGAUAGGAAGGUCUGUUUUUAUCCUUCCCUAAUGUGAAUUUGCUUGUUCUCUUUGCAAUUUUAGGGUUUACUUCAAACCACAUUUAUUCUCUUCUGGUGUACAAACUUCUUGGUGGAUGCUGCGUAGUUUAUAGUGUUUACAAUACAAGCUAUGCUAAGUGAUACUCAUCUCCCUUUUUAGGUAACUAAUGCUAAAGAAGCUUUGGAAAUGCUCAAGUUAGUGAAUGUUAAGAACAAGGAUUGCAAUUUCUUCAAGCUAUACAUCUACUUGGUCUUAGUGGAGAAUCUGCUACUGUUUGAUCAUCCAUUUGAAGAAAAAUCUCUAAUUAUUGACUUGUGGAGUAAGUAUCUUCGAAAUUGCUCGACCCAAAUUACUAGCACGGACUUGCGAUCGUACGCGUCAAAGGUGUGAAAAUGAUCUCAUUUUCUUUUUCCAUCAAAUUAACUGUAUCUUUUUUCUUGUUUCCACUCUUUAAACUCUCCUUUUCGUUCUUUAGGUCCGCAAUAAAGCUUCAUAUCUUCUCCAGAACAUGAUCCUAAAGAAUUGUGGGUAGCAUCUAAACAAUAGGCUGGAAGUAGAAUUUUUCUUUAUUUUUGCCUAUGUAAGAAAAAGAUGAGAUCUUUUGCAUGUACACCUAAUGUGAUCCCAUUAAAAUGUACAUAUUCCUUGGUAUGUUCUUCUCAUGGUUUUGCAUUCAAAAUUGUUCCCCCGUGUUUUAUUUUGUUAUCAUUUUUUGGAUGGUCAAAGGAGAUCAGCAAAGAACAUUCCAAAAUUAAAUAGAAUUUUGAUUUGUUCCAGAUCAUUCUCAUGGGAGCUUUCGCUACGGGUUCAAAUUUAUAUCGGCAUGGCUUCAUAAAAAUGGCUACAACCUCUCUCUCUCUUGUUAUAAUUAUAAUCAGCAUGUUUUCUCUUAGAAUGAAUAAACUGUUAGACGUCUACCCUUAUUGUUUAGUGCAUCAAUAACAUUCUCUCUCAUCAUGUCUCUCUUAGAGACAAAUCUCCACUAGUUAAAAUGCCACAAAACAAUUUAGAAAUAUGAUUUAAAAUCCCAUAGAAUCUUCAGAGUCCACAUGAUCAUCAAGUUUUGUCACUGUGACAGGAAAUGCAACAUAACUGAGCACUGUAUCAAAGGGGGCAAAAAAAGAAAAAGAACUAGUUCCAAAACAAAGAUGUUAGCCUAACAUCUUGCAAACGAAUAACAGGACUAAAAUUUCAAUUUAUCAAAAUGCAACCAACAACAAAGAUAAAUAACAUAAUCACUUACCACACCUCAAGUUUUUAUUCUUCUAAAUUCAAUUUAUAACAAUGUUUGACUGUACUCAUCCAACCCCCUACAUUUGAUCAAGUUUUGUUACACAGAAAACAGCAAUUAUAGUUUGCAAGAUGAGCAAGAAAAAUGAAAAAUAAAUGUUAGAUAGAGGUAAAAGCAGUUUAUUACUUUCCAACGAGAGCAGCAGAGCUCAAUCUGAUUCUAUUGCUAUUCACCUGAUAAUUGAAAUUUUAUCCUCAAGCUAAACGGGCAAAGUUGCCUCAUCCAUUUGUUAACUUUCUCUUCUGUCAAUAAAAGGAAUUGAAAAUACCCGUUGUCCUUCACUUUGGAGUACUCUUUAUUACUGGUACUAAAUCCUUGCAGAAAGAGUGCAAAAAUCCCGUUACACUACGACGUUUUCCUAAUCAAAAAGCCAAAAUAUAUGAUCACCUCUUACAAGCUAGAGCCGUGCAUUCCUUGCAAUCGACCGGAGGCGGAGGUGGAGGCGUUGAACUAUCAGCGACAGUUACUUUAAGCAUUUGGUGAUUCCCAUCAUUUGAAGGUACAUCAAGGAUAGCAUCCAUUAGCAGUAUAUCCCAUUGGCGGUGUUGUAAAAAUGAGAACCAAGUGUCAUCUGUUUUAUAGAUGUGCAUAAAAGGUCAGGAUCAAUGUAGAAAAUUAAUUUAAAUAGUAUGUAGUUUCGAGUUUAAGGAAUCUACUACAAGUUCUGGCACACUUUUCUACAAUCAAGCAAUACGAUCUUAAGGUUUUUCUUUUUUUUUUUCAAAAAAAAAAAGAAGCUGAAGUUCAAAAACCAGUACUGGGGGUGUCCAUAUGUUUUCGCCAACAAGUUUCGACCUAAUAUGAGAUGUCAAUUUGUCAAAUAGAUCCAAAUAACAGAGAAUCAAUCUCAUGUUACCUAACCUGAAUGCAAUUUUAACGAAAAUGAAGCCAUAUAGUAAUGCCUAAAUAUAUGAUUUCAAGGAAGACAAAUAUCGGUACAAUUAAUUUGUGUAUGGAUGAACUGAUAAGUCAAACAGUCAUAUAGUAAUAUGGACAAACCUCCAGAUCGAACUGCCUUCAAUUUGAAAAUUCCAGUUCCUUGUGGGCCAGACACGGGAAACGUGCAAGAAAUGGAAUGACUCCUAGGAUUUACAGCUAGAGAAGCAUUAUACCAGGGACCUCUUACGAUCGGGUCGCCAAUAGCUUGUACUAUUUGCUGAUUCUGACUCGCCUUUUCUAUUGCCUGGCUGAAACCAGUUCAUUUACAAAAUUAACAAUAUAGAAACAAAAAUGGGUCUGUUACAACUUCAAAUGUUGAAGUUCGAACUCUAUUUAAAUUUUGUCUCAUAUUUUCAACCAUAACAAUUUAGUAAUUGAAGUUUGUUCUGUGCAAUAAUAAACAUUAGGCUGCCAUCUGAAAAAGAUAACACAUUAACACUAUCUUUAGGUUUUUCUUUGUGGAAGUUGAAACAUCUAAGAACAGGAUUGAAAUCUGGUCAAACUUCAAGGAUGAAUAAAAUCUGCGUCAACCUAAGAGAUCAAAUUGAAUUUCUGUGCAUGAAACUGAAAUCAGAGUUAAACUUCAAGGACUAAAUUGUUGAAACUCUUAAGGAUGAAAUUGAUACCUCAGUCACACUUCAGGCAGUAAAAUUGUUAGUAACCCUAAAAGCAAAAAAAAUCUUCACAAUAGGAACCUAAAGUAUUUUCCAUCACAUAUCGCAUACUAGAGGAAAAUUUGCUUCACAAGCUGCAUUUGAAAUCUUUAGUAGGCUCAGAUACACGCUACUUGGAAUGAUUGGUUUGCUCAAAUUGAGGUAAAGAAAAAGGAAAACAAAGUCUAAUUCUUAAAACCCAUGUUUGCUGUGCAAUGACAUUCUCAAAUAUAUUUGAGAUUUGAAACUCCUUUUUGAUAUAUAGUAGUUCUCAAUGCCAAUUUACUACCCGGAAAAAGAAAAUAAAAUCUCAAUGCCAAUUGCCAAAGAACCACAAAAUUUUAUUUCUCCAUUUUAAGGUAUUAUUACUUUGUUUAAAGUGAAUUAUGAAUUCUUUUCGUGACUUUAUUCAAACUGAUUUAUGGGUCUCACUAUGGACUCAUAUGUAUCCUACCCUUUAAUCACAAUUGCGCAUAAAUAUCCACUUAAAGCAAAGAUCCAAUUGGAAAAGAGAGAGAUAAACCCUAAAAGAAAGAAAUAAAGAUUAAUUACCACAUGCUGCAAUAAGAAAGAUACAGUUUUAACUGUUAUAAGCCCCAUCAAUUGAUACAAAAUGAAAUUUAGUUGCUGUGUCCACUCUAAUUCACAAAAAUUAUUCUAAACUACCAAUCAAAAUCUAGUUGGAAAAAAAAAAUUGCGACUUUUAUGCCCUAACUCACAAGCAAGUUCUUUCCAAACAUACGGACCAAGAUCGAAUCUUUUCAAUCACAAAUACCCAUAAAUCUCCGAUUAAAUAUAUCCAAUUGGACAAAACCAAUUGCGGUUCUACAGUACAAAACUAGUUGCUAUUUCUAGCCUAAUUCACAAAGUUAUUCCAAACCUACUCACCGUGAUCGAACCUUUCACCUCAAUUACCCAUAAAAUCUCCGAUUAAACCAAAAAACCACUUGGGAAUUUCGAACUUUCCAAUCUUUUCAUCACAAUUAGCCAUAAAUCUCGGAUCAAACCGAAACCCAAUUGACGGGGAGAGAGAGAGAGAGAGAGGGAGGGGUGGGGUGGGGGUGAUCACCUGCUACAGCUGAGGAAGAGGGCGAGAUCGUUCACGGCGCUGAGGGCGACGGCACCGGUGAGGCCGAGCAAGGCGACGGGCACCGCGCGGCGCGCCCACGAGCUCCUCUUCGUGUCGCCGCCCCUCGCGGGCUCCGCCGCCGCCGCAGCCGCCGCCGCCGCGGAAGAGGAGGAGGAGUAGGAGGUGGCGGCGCCGCCGUGGAGUGAAGCGAUUCGCUUGGAGAAGACGAAGGAAGAGAGCGGCGGCGCCGUCGUUCGACACAGCAUGGUUGGCUCGGCCUCGCACGGGAGGGCACGGCUUUGGCUGGGGUCUUUAUAGGGGUGGGAAUUGUAACCGAAACCUCCCUCAAGUUCUGGACAUUUUCACAUUCAUCCCCUGCGCUGCACUUUAGUACAUUGUCAUUUUAAAAUUUAAAGUUAUAGCGCUUAAUUCAACAGUAUUAAUAUUUUGUCAUUAUUUCAUAAAUAUAAAUAUAAAUAUUAAAUUAUAUAGCAUAACCGAGUAAUAAAAAUAUAGUAUUUUUAUUUUUUAAAUAUUGUAUAUGAAAAAUGAAAACUUUUAAUAGAAAGCUUUUUUGGGAACCAACAAACCGAACGAAACCGCCGGUUCAUUCCAGGCGGUUCGGUUUUCAAAAGUCUAAAAAAAACCGAACCAACGCGGAACGACUAUCACCCUCUACGGUUUCCAAAUUAACUCAAUUAUUACGACUUACGAUCCACGACAAGCCCUAACCACCUCUCUCUCUCUCUCCCUCUCUCUCUCUCUCUCUCCGAACCCACCCACCUCUCUCUCUCUCUCUCUCUCUCUCUCUCUCUCUCUUCGAUCGAUUCGUCGCGCUCUUCAUCCUCCUCUCGAUCCUAAUGCUGGUGAGUCGGAUCCGUCGCUGGAUGUAGAAUCAGAACUAGAUUUUGAUCUUCUUUUAUCCGAUCUCUAAUUUUUCUUUUUUUUUUGUUUCCUUUAUUUUGGAGGUGUAAUUUAGUAGAUCUAGUCGGUUUCUUUUUUCCUUUUUCUUCUUUUCUUCGCCGAAUUUGGUGGCGGUGAUCUUUUUUUUUUUUUAAUUGUAAUUUCAUUGCAAUUUUUAUAUCUUCCUGGGAACGGAUUAGAUCUGAUCGACAUCGUUGUUCUUUUCUCAUAUAUUUCGGAGGAUAAAGUUGCUUUUUUAAAGUUUUGUUAAAAUGGCUUGGUCAAAAUGUUUUGAGACCCCUUUGCCGUAGCGCAUUUUGCAAUUGGCCCCUCAGAUUUUUCUUUUUUUUUUUAUUGAUAUUUCCUCAAUUUCUAAUUUAUUUGAUUUGAGUUAAUUAUAGAUUGUUAGGUUAAGGAUUUUAUUCAAAUAGCGCCAAAAGAGGAGUGAAAAGAAGCAGAUCAAUACUUUUUUUCGUUGUAAUAAUAUUAUACAUAUAGAUUAUUGUGUCUUCAUACCUUGUUUUUGGCCAUUUGGUGGAAUACUAUCUAGCCAUUGUAUGCUUGAAGAACCGUACCCUUAUACUAAAACAUGUUCCUUUCAAAUUUGGUUUAAUAUUAUGUAUUGUAAUAUGUCUGAUAGUAAAUCAUAUUAUUUUUUCAAUUUUAACUAAUUUUAACAAAUCUAGUCUAAAGUGCCCCAAAUUUGUUAUUUCAUCAAUAUUCCCAACUGGGCUUUAAUUAAUAUUACUGUUUUAAUCAACAUUGUUUUGAAAAAUCAGUCCAUGCAUCGCAGGGCAAGAUGCCGGUUUUAUUGUUCAAGUUGACAGGCGUUUAAUUAUGUCUGCGGAAGUAAAGUUAAUCAAAUGCGACAAAGCUGCCUGAAAUUUACUGCUGAUUUUCUUGUCUGCUCAUUACAAUUUCCUCUUAAGUCUGCCUACAAAAUAAGGACAGUUGGGUUCAGAUUAUGAUGAAGUUUUGAGCUUAUUUGGUUCCUCUGAUUUGGUAAUUUCCGUAGGAUAUUCACGAGACGGUUAUUAAGCAGGUGUUUUUAUCUUGUAGGGCAGGAAGUGCAGACAGAUGUUAUGGUAGGGUAAAAAGCCGAAGCUUGCUUUCAGAGAGAAACAAGGUUUUGCACCAUAUUAGGAUUCAGGCCCUCUUUUGGGGUUUGUGGAGUGUAACAUACAGUUUCCAAAAUUCAGCGACCAGGAUCAGGGAGCGAAUUUCCCCCUGUUGGGGAGUUUGCUCCUUUCCCUGUGACCCGGAGGGUGAAUUCUUCUAAUGCUGUUGCGAUGGAUGAUGACAUGGAAAAUGGAGCGGGCACAUAUCAGGAGAGACCAAGGACAUUUCCUGCAGUACGGAGUAAAUCUCACACCCCCUGGGUAAAGUUCAAACCACUUCAUUCCUGUCUGUUUUUUUCUCCAUUUCUAUAUUAUCUUGCAUUCCGUUUAUACAGCGUUGCUAUCAACUUGUUUUGUUAGCAUUCACGGAACAAACUCUCUUUAUUUUUAGGUAAUAGCUGUAUCUGAUAUUCUGGCUCUUUUGUUAUAUCCUCUUUGAGGAGCAUAUAAUUUGGUUGAAUACGACAAUUUGUUUUUUUUGCGUUUGAUUAUUCUUUGGAUAUUUCAUUUUUUUUGUUUACCCCAUUUAUAACUGAUUUUGUAAUUUUGCAGAUUUUCCAGAUGUUAACGAGAAUAAAUGCGCGUGUCUUGUUUGUCCUUCUCAUGUUGAUAUUUGUGGUGGUGUUCUACAUAGGUGCUUCUGCCUCGCCAAUUAUUGUUUUUGUGUUCACUAUCUGUAUAAUCAGCCUCUUCUUCUCUGUUUUCCUCACAAAGUGGGUUCUUGCAAAGGAUGAGGGUCCUCCAGAAAUGUCUCAGGUACUCCGGAAUGCUCAUAGUUUCACUUUCUAGGUCAUGCUGUUUUAUGGACUGCUCCUUCAUGUGUUUGGUUCAGUUAAUUCAUCUUUCUUACAUGUUGUGAUGCUUUUUAUCUUUUGGCACUUAAGGUUUAAGUUUUUUAUGUAAAGUUUUUUAUCGUACUGCUCCACUAGAUAAUGUAGGUGCCUAGUUUGUACAGUAGUACCCAACCAGCUGGUUCCUAGGUAGUCCAGGCAUAUACUAUGCCUAGGCGGAUCUUCUUUCCCUUUGGCAACUAGUCCAGUUUAAACUUUUUUUAAUCUGGGUAAAAUUUGGUUGUUCAUUUCCACUUAAUUUGGUCUUUUUUUUAAUAUUAUAAUGCUUAUGCCCUUCUUGUGUGAUCUGUCAAGUUGUCCAUGUUCAACUUAAUGAAUGUUUUUCUUUAGCAGUUAAGCUGAUUUCCUUUUUUUUUUUUAUUAUUAUAUUAUUUUUUAAUCUUCUGCUUGAUGCACUUCCUUUUUCUUCCUUAAGAUUUCGGAUGCCAUACGAGAUGGGGCUGAAGGUUUCUUUAGGACCCAAUACGGAACUAUUUCCAAGAUGGCUUUUAUUCUGGCAAUCGUGAUUCUUACCAUAUAUCUAUUUCGUGCUUCCACUCCACAGCAGGAGGCCGCGGGCUUAGGAAGGUGCUUAUGUCUUUUCCCUUUUCUCCAUGUCAUCUCCAUUUUCUUGUCCUGUUUAUUUGUUAAUUUCUGUAUCCUUCACCAUUUUGUAGGUCAACAUCUGCAUACAUUACUGUUGCUUCUUUUCUUCUAGGAGCUCUAUGUUCGGGAAUUGCUGGGUAUGUUGGGAUGUGGGUGUCUGUGCGUGCAAAUGUUAGGGUUUCGAGUGCUGCUAGGCGUUCUGCGAGGGAGGCAUUGCAGGUAUUUUCAAAUCUCUGUUGCAUGUGCUUUCCUGUAUUGACUCGAGGAAUGCAGAUUUUUCCAUCUAAUUGAUCAGCCUAUGGAAAACAGAUUGCCGUUCGUGCUGGUGGUUUCUCAGCUAUUGUUGUUGUUGGCAUGGCUGUAUUUGGUGUUGCCAUCCUCUAUGCAACAUUUUAUGUCUGGCUGGGAGUUGAUACACCUGGGUCAAUGAAAGUUACAGACUGUAAGUCUUUCCGGAGACCAUGAUUGUACUAAAUGUCAUUGUUUAUUUUUUAACUUGUCAUGACACUAACAAUAUAAUGACUACAAAUCAUAAGUCAUAGAAAGCGUAGUUCAUAACUACUGUUACUAUGCUAUUUAUAGUUUAACUAUUAAUAUACUCACCCGCUUGUGUCCUACUUAAGGAUCACUACUUGCAUACAGAAUUGUGUAGGCAGUGGGAGAUGCUUGAUCUGAUGUGAACAGCAUAUAAUAUCUUUGUAUGUAGAUGUAUUUUUAAGGACUACUAUUGCAAGUGAACAAAUGAUUUUGCUGUAUACUUUCCAAACCUAUGUAGAAUAAGAAACACAAAGUGAAAUUUUGAUCUGUAUAAGGUGCACUUUUUGUAAGGUUUUGAGAGAUUAUGCUGUUACUUGGAAUAAAUGAGUAGAUGUUGCUGUUAAGAUACUACUGCUUAUUUCGAGCUGAGUUGCAUUGCUUGGCCUAUCAAGUUCUUUGAACAAAUAUGAGGAACUUUGUCAAUUACUCUUAUAUUUGUUUCUCACUUUGUUCUUUGUAAAGAGACAUUUUUCUUCUUACGCAGACCAAUAUAUACCUACUAUAGUGAAGAUGUUUCUCAUUGUUUGAAUCAAUUGAUUUUGUUUUGGAAGUACUGUGUUCAUGGCUAACCAGAUGUCAUCUUUAAUGUGAAAUCGAACCUGCACUAUCCUUUUUUUUUGUAAUAAGAUAUUAAAUAGUGUAUUCUGUAGAAACUUAACUUGUAUAUGCUACUGAAUGUCAUUUCACUUGUAUAUAAUUUGCUACAGUGCCGCUACUGCUUGUUGGAUAUGGUUUUGGUGCCUCGUUUGUUGCCCUUUUCGCUCAGUUGGGUGGUGGAAUAUACACUAAAGCUGCUGAUGUGGGAGCUGAUCUUGUGGGAAAAGUGGAGCAAGGAAUACCUGAGGAUGAUCCUCGGAAUCCUGCUGUGAUUGCAGACUUGGUAUUUAAUCUUCAUAUCUUUGACAUAAACUAUUGUUUAUCUAAUUUCUCAGUCAUUUCUGCUCACCCUAUGCUGUCAAUGAAUUUAAGCUAAGGCGAGUUACAUAUGGAGUUUCAGCAUGUUGAUAACCGUCUUACCUGGCUGCCUGUGCUUCUAAUAUUAAACUAAUAGUGUUUAUCACGUUAUAUAGAUAGGGAUUGGGAAUAACUUGCUGAAAAUGUCCUUCAGUUGUCUGUGAGAUAUAAUCCCACAGCUGUAACCCUUAAUUUCGAUCCUUUUCUUUAGAUAAUUCUGAAUUAGAGUUCAUUUAAUCAAUUAAUCUAUUGCAAUUUAUUAUGCAGAUGCUAAGAUUUCUGCAAUCUGUCUUUAUUCAAACAUUUACUUAUGCCUAUUUGAAUGUCGGAAUAAGAUAUCUAAUGAUAACAUAUUCAAUAUGAAGACUUUCUUGUGUGAUUGGAAGCUAAUAGUUUGAUUUUUACUCCUUGAAAUGUUUUGACAUCUAUGAUUUAGUAGGAUAGCAUAUUUCACCUAUGAAGUGAUUUAUCUUAUUCCCAAAAAAUGACUUGAAGGCCGGAUAUCUUAUCCAUUCUAUAUAUUUGAUUGCACUCCGCAAGUAUACGCUGAAUAAGAGAGUCAUGCAUCCAAACUGGGCUUUAGUCACUUCCAUCGGACAUCUGAUGACUCAAAUACGCCUAUUCAAAUAUGAGAAUGUCAACUCUCUAUUCUGCGCUUGAUAUAUGAGUUAUGAUCAAAACUUGUCCAGUCUCAUUUGAACUUUUCAAACCAUUUUGCUGUUACAACUUAUCGUUUCAUUUAUUGACAUGUUUUAUUUUGCUUACAUUAUCUUCUUCUAAUUAAGCCAAUAAACCAUUUGUUAUAUUUGCUCUUACCAUUCGUCACACAUUAUCAUUUGUCACACAUUAUCUUGUGCUGAAUAAAGUUGUAGAAAGGAAAUAAAAAACACGUGGCAAAUGAUGAAUUUUAUUUCAAAAGUUAAUUUCAUAAUUGAAAAAUCCAAUUUAGAGCAACUUGGGGUGUGUCUGUGUGUGCACGCGCGCGCACGCUUGGAUGUGUGUAUGUUACUAAUCUCAGCAUGAUUCUUGAUUACUGACGACAUGCCAAAUAACAGUUUGUGCAGUAUAAAAGGCAUUCAUAAUUUGGCUUCUUUUCAGGCUACAGUUAUUCACAUUAUUCACUCAUCUCUGGCUUUAUGUAGUCAAAGAUUUACAGUUGUCUGUAUUUCAUUCACUAUGCUUUACAGCAGUUCUUCCCAUGAAUCUUUUUUUUUUUUCUUUUUUCCAACUUAAGCAACUUUGGAUUUAACUUUAGGUAGGUGACAACGUGGGCGAUUGUGCUGCUCGAGGUGCUGAUCUUUUUGAGAGUAUAGCAGCCGAAAUAAUCAGUGCUAUGAUACUUGGAGGAACAAUGGCUCAACGCUGCAAAAUAGAUGGCAAGGCUCUAUGCUUAAUUUAUGCUUUUUACAGGCAAUAACAUAUAGUAAAAGUUCUAUCUGAUCCUAAAGUUAAUCUUCUUUUGCUAAGAAAUGAUUACACUCAGAUGGUAACGAGUCAGUGCGGACUAAUGACAUGCAUUCAUUUAAGCACGAUGGAUUUUAUUACAUAUGAUUAUUUGAGUACUUGUAUACUCUCUUCCACGAGUAUCUCUUCUCUUCUUCUUUUUUUUUUUUUAAUUUCAGGCUUUACCUUUACCACUUUACUUUUCCACUCCGCUCUCUUAUAUAUUGUACGUCUUUAUUUUACAAUAUUAUAAUGCCUUGAUUAUUUAACAAUAAUAGUUGUGUGAUUGUUUAAAUCUGGUUUACCAGAACAAAACUAUCUAUGGGCUUCCAAAGCAGGAAAUGAGUUUCUUUCUUGAACCAUGAGCUCUCAUGUAUCUCCAUUAACCAUAUCAAUCAUCUAAUCUGCUUAUAGUUUUCCUCUGCAGAUCCCUCUGGUUUUAUUCUGUUUCCUCUUGUCGUGCAUUCCUUUGAUUUGGUAGUUUCAUCGGUUGGAAUACUCUCAAUCAGGGGAACUCGUGAUCCUGGACUUACUGCUCCUAUUGAGGAUCCGAUGAAAAUACUACAGAAGGGGUACUCUGUCACUAUUGUGCUGGCCGUUCUAACUUUUGGUGUGGUAAGCCAAGCCACUCGCUAUGAUUAUAUUACUAGACCUACACUUGUUAGUAUUGCAUUUGCUUUUUUUUUUUUGUUCAGUUACCACACUUGGGCGGUGAUUCAUUAUUUAGAUUUACAUUUGGGGAGGCUUUAACCAUGUACAGGCUUCUACAAAGAUUUCACAAACUGUUUAUUACGCAUGAUCACCUUCACCUUCACCUUCACCUUCACCUUCACCUUCUCAACGAGAUCCAUCCUACCCCAAUGAAAAGUAACAAAUAUAAACAUAGGUAACAUGUAUAAUUAUGCUUGGGUGUACAACACUCUCUCUGUAAGUUCAGUUUGGCUGGCAAAACAUUUUGGGGCUUUCUGCUGGGGGCAGGCUGAGAUAAGCUGUUGGGCUUCAAAAGCCCAAACUUCAAUGAAGCUUCUUUUCUGCUGCAAUGGGGAGCUUCUUAGGAGAUUUUUGUGAGAAACUUGUUAGUGCUUCUUUGAGCAACUCUUAAUUAACAGUGCUUCUGCAGAAGCUUCAGUGAGACCAAGGAGGCCCUUAAUUUACCACUUUAACAUGCUCUUAUCUCCAACAACAUUUAUAUAACUAACUCUUGCUAUUUUCUGCUUUUAAACUAUUCAGUCUACUCGAUGGCUCCUCUACACCGAACAAGCACCAUCAGCGUGGCUCAACUUUGCCUUGUGCGGAUUGGUGGGGAUCAUGACGGCAUACGCUUUUGUGUGGAUUACUAAGUACUACACAGAUUACAAGCACGAGCCAGUCCGCACCCUGGCUCUUUCGAGUGCUACUGGGCAUGGAACCAAUAUUAUUGCGGGUGUUAGUCUAGGGUUGGAAUCGACGGCUCUCCCUGUUCUUGUGAUAAGCGUAGCAAUUAUCUCGGCCUAUUGGCUGGGUCACACAUCAGGCCUGGUAGAUGAUAGUGGGAACCCUACUGGUGGCCUCUUCGGGACGGCUGUAGCUACGAUGGGGAUGCUUAGCACGGCUGCAUAUGUUCUUACUAUGGAUAUGUUCGGUCCUAUAGCUGACAAUGCUGGUGGAAUUGUCGAGAUGAGUCAACAGGUAUUACAACUACUAUGUAUGAUUGUACUUACAGCAAUAGGGCUUGUAACUCUAUGUAUGAUUUUACUGGAAAAUAAAUGCAAAAAAAAAAAACCUAUUAAGUUUUCUUGCAGACAAAUAAUAUUGCUUGCACUGAUCACUCUCUUUUAAAUAAUUAGUUUAAACAUUCUGCAGCCUGAAAGUGUGCGAGAAAUCACAGAUGUUCUAGAUGCUGUUGGUAACACAACCAAAGCAACCACAAAAGGGUUCGCCAUAGGGUCAGCUGCGCUUGCUUCUUUCCUUCUUUUUAGUGCCUAUAUGGAUGAAGUGGCUUCAUUCGCUCAUGUCCCUUUCAAACAGGUAAUCUAUAUACCACGCAGAUGUGACAGGUUGCAUCAUAAAGUGUAGUGUCUAAUGGAGGAUUUUGCAGGUUGAUAUCGCUGUUCCUGAGGUUUUUAUCGGCGGUUUAUUGGGCUCCAUGCUUAUAUUUCUUUUCAGCGCCUGGGCUUGUUCCGCUGUGGGCAGAACUGCUCAGGAAGUUGUUAAUGAAGUCCGAAGACAAUUUAUAGAGAGGCCUGGAAUUAUGGUGGGUUUCUAUUCCUCAUUUCCCUUAAAACUUUUGAUUGUACUUGUUUAAUGAAUGCCCAGACUGAUAAAACAUACACACACAGGACUACAAAGAAAAACCAGAUUAUGGCCGCUGUGUUGCCAUUGUGGCAUCAGCAUCUCUGAAAGAAAUGAUAAAGCCUGGUGCCUUGGCAAUUAUAUCACCAAUGGUCAUCGGUGAGUUUUAUAGUCUGUUCAUCGUGAAUUUUGUUGAGAUUUAUAUAAUAUAUAUCAUUCUAGUUCAUUUGGAUAUUAGAGAUUUCAAUGUUAACAGGCUGGGGAGUAAAUGUGAAAAGGUAGAUUUAUAGGUGCUUAAGUAAAAUGAUUUGGAGUUACAAUUUUACUUUGUAAAUGUAAAUAGGGAACCAUGAGAGCUGUGGCAAUAUGGUUGAUUCGUGUCAAUUAUUGAUAAUUUUGUCCAUUUUUCAGGGUUUCUCUUCCGAAUAUUGGGCUACUUCACUAGCCAACCGCUACUCGGAGCUAAAGUGGUGGCCUCAAUGCUUAUGUUUGCAACAGUUGCUGGUAUCCUCAUGGCACUCUUUCUGAACACGGCUGGAGGCGCCUGGGAUAAUGCUAAGAAGUACAUAGAGACUGGCGCAUUAGGAGGCAAAGGGAGCGAUUGUCACAAGGCGGCAGUAACUGGCGACACGUAAGUUCUCUACGCUUAAGUCAAGAUGCCUCUUUGUUUCCCUUCAGGGUUUGCACUUAGAGCUACUAUGUGGUCUAUUCAAUGUUUUCGCACUUGGCCUUCUUUUAAGGCUCUUUUUGUUAUGCACAUAAUACCCCCGCUAAUAUGCAAGAAUCGUGGAUACCUUCACCUUGCAUGUGCCCUAUUGAAAAAAUUUUCUUAUUCGCAUAGGCGUCCCUCUUGUACCCAUCUUAUUAUGUAAAACUGCUCAGCUACCUUGGUAGAUGCUGACAUGUAACGUGCUCCCGAAAACCUUGUAUAUUUGCAUGCACACACCUUUUCAAUUUUUGUUUGGGGCGUGGACGCAAAUAAAUCAGGAUUGCAUUUUUGCAUAUUCUCAGGGUUAUGAAAGAGCCUUUAUUUAUUUAUUGUCAUUUUUUUGUGUUCGUUUCUGCAAUCCCCACUACUUAAUGGUAUCACUUGUAAGUACUGACACAAACUUCUGAAACUGCAGAGUUGGAGAUCCAUUCAAAGACACUGCAGGGCCCUCCCUCCAUGUUCUAAUCAAAAUGCUCGCGACUAUCACAUUGGUUAUGGCGCCUAUAUUUUUGUGAUCGACUCACCUUUCAUUUGCAUUUAACCAUGUAUACAGGGACCCAUAUACUCUUGCUAUAUAGUUGAGUCGGUUUCCCAAGGAUGGGGAUCGGAGUGGUGGACUAUUCGGAUGAUAUUGUUCCUUUCUUUUUGUCUGUGGAGAAAUAAUGUUUAGUAAAAUGCCUGUUUUGACUGAUUGUUCCAGAUCUGUAUUUGAAAGUACUUUCUUUUUUUAUAAUUACUAUUAUAAAUACACGUCUUAACAUAUAUCUGCAGUAAGCAUAUUCUUAUCCUUUAUCUAGAACGAUAAACUUUGAGUCCAUGAGAUGCGUUUUCUGUGGUAGAAAUCCCAGACGUGUUGCUUCUGUAUGAUCUCCCUUUCAUUGUAUCAUGCGAAACAUUGGGAGGCCCCAUUUAAUAUCCUUGAUCUAUAAUAUGCUAUUGGUUACCGCACGUAACAUUGCUAAAUAUAAUAGCAAACUGUUUUAUUUUACAAAUCAUUCGACGGUAAAGUGCAAAUAUCCUAGAAUUUAGGAAUUAAAUAUGCUCAUGCUCAUAUUAGCUUAAAGUUGAUCAUGAUUUUGUAAGGACUCCUAUGCGAGGAUUAAAAUGUCCAUUAGCACGAGCCAUAUCAAUCGUACCGUAUUGUACCAGUAAAAUAUCGACAUGACACAGCCUCUCUACUGAUAGCACAAUUCAAAAUCCUCUAUUCGUAAAGUUUGUAAGUAAUUUUUUUAAUAAAAUUUUAAAAAUUUGAUAAAAAUAUGUAAUAAAUAAUUAGUAUAUUUUGUUACUAAAAAAUAAAUAUUUUAUGCCAUUACGUAUAGACACACAUUUUUUAUGACCGAUCCGUAUUGAUACGGUCCGGCAUGCACCGUACCGGCACGAUCCCAUGCCAUGAUAUAUAAAUCCUUGCUCCCAUGUAUAUAUUUCUUGUGAGUUCAAUCAAAUAUCUACUCUUGCGCACAACAUCCCAUGCCUAAUUCAAGGGUAAAAAAAUAUCAGAAUAUUGGCCCUAGCGGAAAAGGAUUGUACUGUAGAACAAUUAAACCAUAAAAGCCUGCAUCAACAGGGCACGAUCAAGAGAGAAAAGUUAUUUAUUCACGAAGACAACAAUUUAGUGUUUCCGCACGCCAGGAAAAAAGAAGUAAAAAAGAAAAAGAGUAGCUUCAAUGAAACACUCAAAGCUCCUUACAUGGUUGCUGUGUUACAAAGAAUCAACUGUAACAAACUAUACUCUCUAUAUUGUUGUUGCUUUUUACACUAUCACGGUGUUUUGUACAAUGAAAUAAUCUUUGGGAGCAUUUUGCCUACAAAGAAUAACGCUUGUGACUGCAAAGUAGGAAAAUUUCGCACCACUGUAACAAAUGAAAGGAAAAAAAAGGGAAAAUAAAAGCCCACUGAUGGGAGGGUAAGGUUAGAUAAACGCAUCCCAGCCCAUUCAAUCAAAACCUAAAAAUGCCACACCUAAAUAAGAAAAAAAAGAAAAUUAAAAAAUAAUAUACAACCGCAAUAUGAGGGAGGUAAAAGCCGUAAAUCUGAGAAAGGAAUAAGAGAAAAACUCUGGUGUAAAAUGGGCUCUCAUUUGUCCCACUUGGAGGCAAAAUGGAAGGAAAAUGGUUGUGUUUUUUAAAGCUCUAGUCAUUGCAAAAAGUGGAAGGCUGGGUUCUCAAGAAGCUCUUUCGGUCGAUCGACAUCUGAAAAGUCCUUCUCUUGUAUAGAACUCGAUAUCUCAUCGAUCGAGAAAGGUAUGCUACAUCAGGAGCAACAAAGAAGCAAAGUCAGGAAAAUAUUAUUGUCACUAGAAGGGUUGAAAAUGAUACACACGCGUGCGCACACACACACACGUACACACUACCUUAAAUCAUCAUCAAGCAAAAAUGAACUGCUAUCAGCGUCAUUCGACUCCUCGGUCAUUGAUGUCCUCAUGCUUGCAAGGACCUGAAAAAAGUUUGACCAAUGAAACAAGGAGAUAAAUGGAUAUUGUUUACUCGAGACAACAUGCAGGUGAAAGAGAAAAACCAAUUAGUGCGAGAGAAUAUAAUAGAAAUGCUAAGUUUCAAAUGCUAACACUAGUUAUUUCUGAAGGAAUUUUCGCAUAUACUUCCUUGGAAGAUUAUCUAAUUGCAUUUGCAGUACUGUAAAAUCAGAAUAUACCUCUUUGAAGUGCUGUUUCUUACAUCUAAAAUCCUUAUCUUAUUUGGAGAGUUGUUAAAUUCACGGGAUCAAAUUGGCCCUCUAUUAGAAAAGGCUCUUUCGGAACUUGGAAGUGCAGUGGAGUACAUGUAAAAACUAACAUUUUUUAAGAGGCAACUAUGAAAUGCAGAUUUUGCAGGGACACAUAUGCAAAUAGAGAUCUUUUCAGGCACAUGUAAAUAAAUCUUUAUUAAUAUGGACUACUUAGUAAGAAAUCCUAAAUGUAAAUAAUAAGCCAUAUAUGAAGUUAUUUGGGCUUACACUUGAAGAGACGCUUUGGGUAUUAUAUUUGUCAUCCCAAUACUGUGUGCAAAUUCUGUAGAGCUGUUGGACACUCAACAUCUGCAUAAAUGAGUCGUCAUUAGACAUGUAAAUGUUCAUGCAAUGAGCUAAAGUGAAUGAUCUCAUGCAUGUUUUGAGAGAGAAAUUACCGGGCAGAGGUCACUCAGUAGGUCCUCGUAAGAAAUUCUGUACUUCUGAAAUAUUACCUGAAAAGUGGGACAAAAAGAAGUUAAACAUUGCUUCUGAAUGACAGUGCUAAAGAAAAGCCCUAAUACAGUGGGAAUAACUCUAUUUUUUUCCAGCUGAAAUGCAAAGAACCAGCCUUGAAACAUAGCAAAUUACAAUUGACCCCUUGAUAAUUAUUCAAAACCUACAAAUAUUAGCACUUUUCACCCUUUUAUUAGUGCUCCGUUAGGAAUUUGUUUGAAAAUAUGCUAAAUAUAUGUGAAAAGUAUUAAACUGUCUAAAUCCCCUUUUGUCCGGUCUUUCUUUAAUUCAUAUGGACUGGACAGUGGGGUAAUUUCGUCAGUUUACCCUCUUCCUUAAGAGCCGUAACCUCAUGAGAGAUUUCUGAUAGAGUUGAGGGGAUUUUCUGACGAUUUUGAUUUUUUUAUUUUUAUUUUGGGAAGAGGGUGAUUUUCUGUUGGUUUUGAUUUUUAUAUUAGGGUGGCUGGGAAAGCGGGGAGUGUUGUGUGACUCCAAUGAUUCUCAGGGGAGCAAGGAUUUAAGUGCCGUGGCACGGAAUCGUGCCGGAAACUUGCCGGCACGGUACAACACGGUGCAUGCCAGACCGUGCGAAGCGUGCCGAUUAUAAAAAAUAUAUGUGUGCUGACACAUAAUGACAUGAAAUAUUUAUUCUCUUUAGCAACAAAAUAUGUCAAUUAUUUAUUAUGUAUUUUUAUCAAAUCUUUUGAAUUUUAUUGAGAAAAUUACUUAUUAGUUUAAAGAAUCGAGGGUUUUGAGUUAUGCUAUCAGGACAGGGGCUGUAUUGUACCGAUAUCUUGCUGGCACGAUACGGCACGGUGGAUACGGCAUGUGCUGAUAGGCACUUAAAUCCAUGCAGGGGAGUUCCUACAUUUUAUCCUUUCUUUUAUAAGAAUUGAAGGGCCAUAACAACUUGGCUCAGCCGUCAAACCCAAAUACAAAUUCUUUUUCUAUUCAAUAAGCCUAACAUAAACAAAAUUGAAAUGCUACAAUGUGUCAGCAGUAAUAUAUACUUACCAAGAAACCAACAGCUUGCCUUAUCUGUUUAAGUUCAUCCCAUGAAGACCCCGCAUACUACAAAGAUUGACAUCAGAAAGAUAAAAAUGUGAAAUACAGUGAGAUGCCGACAGAAAUAUCUAGAUAUAUCUGAGGAAUUUGGAGAUGUAGAAUAAUAUUACCUCUUGUUUUGCUUGUGUGCACCACACCUCCAGUUCUUCCAAACCACAUUUUACAUACUCUCCGUUGCUAAAAGAGCAACACUCACGGCGUAAUAGAAGGCUUCAAAAAAGUAUAGCAAAUAAAUUAGUAAGAGAGAGAGAGAGAGAGAGAGAGAGAGAGAGAGUUAACACAUUAAACCAUAAAAUUCACCUAUUGACAAGUUGAACAUUGAUGAAUGCGAAAAUCUGGCUAAACAUCUUCUGAAUAAGAACUUUGGGAACCUGAAAUGCCACCAGGAAAUGACACUCGUCUAACCAUUAUAAUAGGAAGUUCCGAUCUUAGUCCAGAAUAAAAUACUUACAUAAUUCUCUUGCAAUAUCAUCAGAAGGUUAUCGAGGUGUUCGAUGAUGGUAUUCCACUGGCUUCCUUGACUUGAAUUCCCAAAGGAGCGCCCCCUAACCAUACUUGCUUUUGCCGUUCUUGGUGCCUUAAGUUCAUGAGAAGAUGAUUCAUAGUCAGUGAACGUGGAGUGUUAGUGAAUAAUGUGUAGAGAUACGAACAUUAGGUUUAGAUUACUUCAGCUAGAAAUAAGAAAAAGGAUUCUUCGUAUUCAUUCAUGGCAUAAAUAUGCGUAGACUGUCUUAAAUAGAAGUAUGCUGAGUUUUCACCUAACAGGCUCUGCUUCCCCCCCACCCCGCCNGUUUAAUGAACAGUAUGAACUAUGAUCUUUAACUAAAACUCUCAUGAUUGAUAUGCUGCUAUUUGUUAAGCAACUGAAAACCAUCUAAGCGGAAUGUACUCAUAGUAAAUCUUAAUUUAUGCAUAUGUGGAUUUACUGAAUGGCCAACACAGUAGAAAAUCUCCUUGAAAAGUCUUUAUAAAAGAGGUUUAAGUCUUAAGAUUGUUGGGAAGAAAUUUAAAAAAUAAAAAAACAUUGUGGGGGAGAACAUAUCUUACUUUUAACACCUACAUGUUGAAGCUUCUUCUGACACAAUAGGCUAAAUUGGGUGAUUUCCCUAUUUUUGUAAGCCAAAUUAGUGUUGGACAUUUUGUCGUGUUUAAAAAAAUAGAAAAUCCAAAACUUGCAGAUUUAGCUUCCAAAUCUAUAUUAACAUUCCUUGUAACCUUCAACCAGAUCUUGUUCCUUCUAUUCAUCACUCUGAAUAUUCUAUGUGCAUUUUCACAUUAAGAUGCAGAGGAAUAGAUGAAGAAGCAUAAGUUUUUCAUCUUACUUGGAUACAAAGAGAAAGUAUGGCAGUCAAAUCCUUCUUCACAUUAUCACGAAUAAUUCCAUAUAUCUUCUCAACAUAAGCUGAGAGUUGCUGCUUAAACAGCAAAGCUGGGUAUUUGGCCUCGACAUGCUGUACAAUAUCCAGUUCAUCAACCACAAGGUUUGCAGAAGAUGAGCGAAAUCCCUAGCAAGAGUGCAAAAUUAGAUGAUAAGAAAACAUUAUGAGAGAAAAAAAAGAGCAGCAGGAUAAUAUGCUAAUAAUAACAAUGCAUUCAUCGAGGCAACACAAAAGAGCAUUUAGGGAAAAUUGCAUAUUUAUCCCCAUAAAAGAUUACAUAGCCAUCCCUCUAAAAGUUUGAUAAUGUAUAUAGCUAUACAUGCAUUCAAGGAUUUAAGUGCCGUGGCACGGGAUCGUGCCAAAAACUUGCCGGUACGGUGCGGCACGGUGCGUGUCAGGCCACGCUGAUACAUUCCGAUUACAAAAAAUACAAGUGUGCCGAUACAUAAUGACUUGAAAUAUGUAUUUUGUUUAGCAACAAAUUUUUCUAAUUACUUAUUAUAUAUUUUUAUCAAAUCUUUUGAACUUUAUUGAGAAAAUUACUUACUAAUUUAAAGAAAAGAGGGUUUUAAGCUGUGCUAUCAACAUGGAGGCUGUAUCGUACCGGUAUCUUGUUAGCAUGAUAUGGUAUAGUAGAUACAACCCGUGUCGAUGGACACUAAAUCCUUGCAUGCAUUCCUCCAGUUUGACUGUCAUCUUAACCAUUAAAAUUGAUAAUUUAUAUAUUUUAUAUCUGAAUGCCCGUUAUACCCUUUCAAAUAAGUCCUAAUUUUUUUUUAAAUGGUUAACUGACACCAGUCAAAGAGGGAUAUUUCUGUUAUCUGGAAACUGUAAUGAAAUAUAUAAUGAUGUAAAUUUUGCAGUGAUCAAUGCAUAAUUGGAAAACUUAGCCGGGACACAUAUGCCAAUGCCCCUUCAGAAAAUGUGAUCACAUACUUGCGUCAUCCUCCCAAACAACGAUGUUGGAGGGGGAGGUUUCCGACGUGGGGUCGACCCAGCAGAACCAGCGGCUUUUAGACUCUUUUGAAGCAGAAACAGUAAAGCAGAUGCAUUUGAUAACCAGUAAGCCAGAUGUUCAUUGCUCUCCAGGUUCUGCACCAUUUGUUUUGUAGGGAUUGUUAAAUAGUUCCUGAUAUUUAGUCCAAAACAGAUAGAGGGGUUAAAAAAAAAGAACCGUACAUACCUCAAUUGCGGAACCAAUCAUCUGGAUAAGUCGAUCAAAAACACUAGUUUUUUCUGCCUCAAACAACUUCCAGUGAAGCAGACAUUUGUAUAUGGUUAAUCCAGCCACCGGCUUUCCCUGAGUAAGUCCACUAUUUUGCACAACAAAAUUUAUAAGGGUGUUUACGUUCUCCUGUGCAAGGAUGAUCUUAGAGUUAUAAUUCAAUUAAUCCAACAAAAAAAAAAACCUACUUGAUGUGAUAAAGUAUAAUAUUUAAAAUAGCAUAAAAGAUCUAGCACAUACGUGUUGUCUCUCAAUAUACGAUAUUCUCAUCUUCGGAUCAGAGUUGGCAUAAUUAUUAACAGCUGGAGGCGCACUAUGAGGUUCCUGCAUUAAAAUAUAGUAAGAUUUAAGAACAGAAGUAUAAUUAAGACAUAGAAGAAGAAUGAGAAUUUAACAAUGAAUGGUGUUUAACAGCCAUUUUGGACCUUAUGAUCUUCUCUAUGAUGCUGGUCAUUGGCCAAAUUCUGCAAAAUCAUGGGAAAAGUGGGACGCGUAAGACAGAAAAAGGAACAACUUAAAACUGGAGGCCACUUUGCAAACAACAGCCACUUGUGUUUUGCUUUUCUAUUACUGUUUUCUGAUUUUGUGAUUUUCAUGCAAUUUUUUCAAUCGUGUAACUGUGGACCUAAAUACUUUUUAUAAACCAUUAUGCCCCAGGGUAAAUCUAUCAGAGAAAGAUCUCUGUCAAAAUUUGCAAAUAUGAAAAAAGUGAAUUGAUGCAGAAUUGAAAAAAUAGUGGAAUAUUCUUCUGUUAAAAAAAAUUAGGCAUUAUAUGAGUGCUGGUAUACAUGUUUUGGAGGAGUUGAAGGUGUUGGUAAACGUCCAGAAGUUUGUUUCACUGGCAACUGCAAUAGAGCUUGCUGCCGGAGAAUCUGAUUUUCUGAUUCCAUGUUAGCCAGUUUGUCUUGAAGUCUGUUACAGAGAAAAGAAAACUUAAAAGUUUUCUUUUUGAGUCAAGAAAUCUGUUAUUAAAAGAAGGCUUUAGUAAAACACAGCUACAAAUCUACAAGAACCUUUGCAUUGAAUUAUUCAAUUCAAUUAUCUUCGACUCUGCCUCCAUAGCUUUUUUCAGCCUUUCCUCACUAAGUCUGCUUGUUUCUUCAUACUCUUUCUCAGUUUCAUUAAUCUUCGUCUCAAGAGUAGUCACCAGUUCCUGCAAAUUGCGAACAAAGAUUUUGUGUGAAAAUCAAUUGAGCACAUACUGCACACGGAUCAAAAGUGACCGUGAUGCAAUGAUAUAUCCACAAAAAAUCUGAUCACAUGCAUCAUUUAAGCUGUCCUGCUUUAAAAAGAUAAUAUUAAGUUAUUAACCUUACUAGAGAUAAAACAUGUCUCUCCUGCCUUAUGUCUCCACAAAUUGGGAGACGAGAUAUCACUAGACAGCAAAUUUUAGAUUAAUGUCCAUUAUACUUUUUAGUUUGGCCGUGCGGGUUUGAGAAAUUCUCUUUCCUUUUCCUUUUACUUUUUUACAUGCUUCGACGUGUUAAACUACAUACUACAAUCAUUCGUCCAUCUUCUUUCCUUCAAAAAACAUCUCUAUCAUCUCCACCAUCUUCAUGUUAGUCAAUAGCUUACCAACUUAAAAGGUGUGCUUCAAUAUGUGCAUACUAAAUACAACAAUACAUCCACAUCUAGAUAUCAGUAUAGUUGUUUGAAUCACUAAAAGUGAUGACUCAGUUCUUACAGCCCUACCAAUCCCUCAUCAAGCCAAUGAAACUGUGGAAAACACUUCUUAGUUUUUGAUCCUCUGUUAAGUUACAGCUCCUACACUCAAGAUCAAAGUUGGCAAUGAAUGCACAAAAUCUUCUAACCACACAAGUCAUCAGCAGUAGCAUAGCGUGUAAUGCUAUAUAUAUAUAUAUAUAUAUAUAUAUAUAUAUAUAUAUAUAUACAUGUACAUAUGUAUGUACGUAUAUAUAUACAUGUACAUAUAUACAUAUAUAUAUAUAUACAUAUAUAUACAUACAUAUGUAUAUGUAUACAUAUAUAUAUGUAUAUAUGUAUAUAUAUAUAUAUACAUAUGUAUAUAUAUAGAGCUAGGCUACUAUACUACAUAGUACGGAGCUCCGGUACUAUAGUGUUGUUUUCGAUCUUAGGGCGUUCAAAUCAACGAUCCACACCGUUAAAAUUGAUCUAGGGUAUUUAAAGUUUCUAGAAGUAAAAUUUUAUAUUUUUCAACAUAGUUUACUUUUGAUCAAACUAUUUCAAAAUUGUGAAUUUUCAAUGGCAUUAUGACGAGUUUGGAGUUUACGGUGUAGAAGAAUCUAAAUUUCUUCAAAUUUGAUAGAAAAUACUUAUAAACUAUAUAGAUUAAGGUUAACAUUCUUGAUCUUGAAUUUAAAAGUCCUAUGCUCAAAUUUAAAGAUUAUCAAUUUCCACCGUCCAUUUUGAUAUAAUUUAUUUACUAAGUAAACGAUAUCGAAAAAUCUAAAAUUUUUAUUCCUAAGAAAUUCAUAUACCCUAGAUAUAUUUAACGGUGUGGAUCGUUGAUUUGCACGCUCUAAGAUCGAAACAACACUAUGUGACCGGAGCUCGUACUAUAGAUAGUAUAGUAGCUUAAUUCUAUAUAUAUAUAUAUAUAGAUUAUAUAUAUAUAUAUAUAUAGUUGAGCUAGAAUACUAUCGAUAGCAAACGGGCUCCAUUGCCACCCAUUUGUUUUCAUUGAUAGAGCCUUCAAAUCGACGACCGGUAUCGUUGAAUAUGAUCUAUACCAGUUGAAGUGUUUAGAAAUCAAAUUUCAAAUAUUUUCAACAUCAUUUGCCUAAUGAUCAAAGGUUUCAAAUUUUGUAAUUUUAAUGGUCGAUAUGAGGUGUUUUCUCAUUUAACGGCAUAAAGAUAUCCAAACCAAGUGAUUUUUUGUUAGAAAAUUCUUCAAACUAUACAAAAUAAGAUCUAUACUCUUGAUCUUGAUUACAAGAUUCCUAUGAUCAUUUUUUAAAGAAUAUUCAUUUUCAGCUGUUCAUUUUUGUGUCCACUCGAUGGAUAAGAGAACAAUAUCGAAAAUGUAUGAAAUUUGAUUUCUAGACACUUCAAGUGAUAUAGAUCAUGUUCAACGGUGCCGAUCGUCGAUUUGGAGCCUCCAUCAUAGAAAACAAAUGGGUGGCAACGGAGCCCGUUUGCUAUCGAUAGCAUUCCAGCUCAAUUCUCUCUCUCUCUCUCUCUCUCUCUCUCUCUCUCUCUAUAUAUAUAUAUAUAUAUAUAUAUAAUAUAUGAUUGGAGGCUCCAAAUCGACGAUCGACACUGUUGAACAUGAUCUAUAUUACUUGAAGUAUCUAGAAAUCAAAUUUCAAAUCUUUUCGACAUUAUUAACCUAAUGAUCAAAGGGUUUCAAAAUUUGUAAUUUUAAUGGUCGAUAUGACUUUAACGGUGUAAAACUAUCCAAAUCAAUUGAAUUUUUGUUAGAAAAUUCUUUAAACUAUUUAGAACAAGAUCUCUACUCUCGAUCUUGAUUAUAAAAUUUCUAUCAUUACUUUUUAGAGGAUAUUCAUUUUCAGCCGUUCAUUUUACGCCCACUUGAUGAACAAGAGAACAAUAUCGGAAAAGCAUGAAAUUUGAUUUCUAGAUACUUCAAGUGGUAUAGAUCAUUUUCAACGGUACCGAUCGUCGAUUUGGAGGCUCCAUCAUCGAAAACAAAUGGGUGGCAACAGAGCCAGUUUGCUACCGAUAGUAUUCCAACUCAACUCUCUCUCUCUCUCUCUCUCUCUCUCUCUAUAUAUAUAUAUAUAUAUACCUGUAUAUGUAUAUAUAUGUAUAUGUAAAUGUAUAUGUAUAUAUGUGUGUGUGUGUAUGUAUUUAUUUUCCUUGAUCAAAGAAAUGUAGUAGAGUGCUCCUAUUUUACCAGGAGCACACACACACAUGUAUAUGUAUACACACACACACACACACACACACACAUAUAUAUAGGCUAGGGCUACUAUACUCUUAUGAGUAUGGAGCACUUCGUACUCAUAAGUUGUUUUCGAUGAUGAAGCUUCUGAAUCGACGAUCCACUCCGUUAAAUAUGAUCUAGAGUAUUUGAAACUUCUAGAAAAUAAAUUUUGUAAUUUUUCGAAAUCAUAAGAAAGUUCAUCAAGUGGGUAUAAAAUGAAAGGUCAAAAUCGAACGUCUUAAAAAUGGAUGAUCGGAUCCUUAAAUUUAAGAUCAGAGUUAUUGAUCUUUAUCUAUGUAGUCAAUAGAAUUUUCUAUCAAAAAUUCAACUGAUUUCGAUUCUUUUACACCGUUAAACUAGCAAAUAUCCCAUACCGGCCGUUAAAACUUGUCAAUUUUGUGACCUUUUGAUCGUAAGGUAAAUGAUGUCGAAAAAUUAUAAAAUUUGAUUUCUAGACGUUUUAAAUUCUCUAGAUAACGUUUAACGGUGUGGAUCAUCGAUUCGGAAGCUCUAUCAUCGAAAAUAACUUAUGAGUACGAGGACGAUCGAACUCAUAAAAGUAUAGUAGCCGGACUCACACACACACACACACACACACACACACACACACACACACACACACAUAUAUAUAUAUGUGUGUUUAUAUAUAUAUAUAUAUAUAUAUAUGAGUAGGGCUACUAUACUCUUAUGAGUAUAGAGUCCUUCAUACUCAUAAGUUGUUUUCGAUGAUGGAGCUUCCGAAUCGACAAUCCACUCCGUUAAAUAUGAUCUAGAGUAUUUGAAACUUCUAGAAAAUAAAUUUCGUAAUUUUUCGAAAUCAUAAUAAAGUCCAUCAAGUGGGUAUAAAUGAACGGUCGAAAUCGAACGACGUCCUAAAAAUGGAUGAUCGGAUCCUGCAAUUUAAGAUCGGAGUUAUUGAUCUUUAUUUAGGUAGUAAAUAGAAUUUUCUAUCAAAAAUUCAACUUAUUCCGAUUCCUUUACACCGUUAAACUAAUGAGUAUCCCAUACCGGCCGUUAAAAAUUGUCAAUUUUGUGACCUUUUGAUCGUAAAGUAAAUGAUGUCAAAAAAUUAUAAAAUUUGAUUUCUACAAGUUUUAAAUACUUUAGAUAAUGUUUAACGGUAUGGAUCGUCGAUUCAGAAGCUCUAUCAUCGAAAACGACUUAUAAGUACGAGGGCGAUCAUACUCAUAAGAGUAUAGUAGCCGGACUCAUAUAUAUAUAUAUAUAUAUAUAUAUAUAUAUAUAUAUAUAUAUAUAUAUUNUCAUCGAAAAUGACUUAUAAGUACGAGGGCGAUCAUACUCAUAAGAGUAUAGUAGCCGGACAUAUAUAUAUAUAUAUAUAUAUAUUCUAGUUAUCUAUGGUGUAUGACAUGCAAAAAUACAGACACAUUAAUUUUCAAGACAAAUUUAAGUGCAUAAGAUGAUGCUUAUCACCUCCAUUUCUAUUUUUUCAUAUAUAAAUUACUUUGGGAUGCUUCCCAGUAAUACUAGCUACUUAUCAAGUAAAAAGAUUAUCAAUAAAGAAAGGGAGAUAAAAGAUCGGCCACUUAGUAAGUUGAGAUGUACCUUAAGUUUCACGUUUUCAGCUGUAAGCUUAUCCAGAAGAGUUGUAUCAAUAACAGGGAUCUCUUUUAUGGAAGAAAUUCUCUCGGCAACAAAUUCAGCAGCUUCCUGCUCCUUUACCAUCAGCAAAUCUUUAGCUUCCUUGAACUGCAGUUCGAUCUCCCGCAGGGCUAAUUGCAGCUUCUCAUUUUCUUGUGUUUUGGCUUCUUCCAUAUCAACCUAGGAAAGGGGUAUGUAUAUACAUAAGUAAUUUCCUAAGGUUUACAUAUUCAAAGAUUUGGAAAUUAUGUGUUUGAGAAAGUGGAACACCUCUACAAAGUUCCAAGUGACAAACAGAAACAACCCUGAUUUGAAAAUAUCUUUUACCAAAUCAUUAAUGAAGGUAAAUUGUUCUAUGAACAGACUCUAUAUCUGGUUAGAGCACACAAUAUUAGUUAGCUACUUAGCUUAAAAAAUCCAUAAAUAAUAAAGCAAAAGCCUAUACUUACUCUCAUGCGUUUCUCCAACUGUAGCCUCCAUGUAAGCUCCUCAACUUGCUUCUCUAAUUUAUUUUUGGCAGCUUGUAGAGCGCCAGUUUCCCUUGCAGCCUGAAAAAUAAAAAAAAUAUAUUAAAUUGAGCAAGCAGGGAUUUAUUUAAACUAAACAGAUGUCCCUGCAUUUCUUUGCCUUGUAAACCAAACUAAAUACUACAGGAAGUUAAGAUACCAAGAAAUAUUAAAACUACAAUAGAACUCCCUAGAUACUAUUACAUACGAGGCUCCUAUAAAUUAAGGGUAUGCCAAAACAAAGCUUCUUACCAUUUUAAGUUUUCGAAGCUCUCUUCUAGCCACUCUUCCUCUCCAAGCACAUUGAGUGGCAAUUGCUGCCUUCUUUAACCUUAAAUAUUCUGAACGUGCCAAGUAACGACGGCAAUGACUCUGAAAUAAAAGGUAAAAUCAUCCAAAAGCAAUGAUGAUGAUGAACAAAAAAAAAAAAAAUCCAACUGUCUUUCUGACAGAAAAAGAACCAGAAGAUAAAAGACAUAAUGAAAAGGAAACUGGAAAGUUAUAGAACAAAUGUAUUCUUGAAAAGUACGGAAUACGAAAAGUACUUUGAGAUCAUAAAAGUGUAAUUAGAAAGAGCGCAAGAAAAGACUAUAUGCAAUAGCUUAAGCUAUUUUAGUGCAAUAAUUUCUACUUUAAACCAAGGCCGUUGAAUAAGUCCUAAAAACUCAAGAGAUAACAUAAAAAUGGUGAAUUGCACUUGCGCUCUGCAACUUCCGUGUUGGAUCAGUGGGUCACUACCCUCUGCAAUUUGCUGCAAUCUUAUUAUUUCAGUAAAAUUCCUUGGCAAAUUAACUAUUCACCACCUAAUUGCCACUGAAAUUUUCAUAUGGUGUUUAGACGAGCAUUUUCAUUCAAUGAAACUGCAGAAAAUAUUGAAAAGGAUUGGCUUGUAAUGAAUUGAAGAGGUUAGGAACCUAAAUGUAACAAUUGAAAAGAUCUGGGAGCAAAAAUGAAACCUCCCAAAAGUCAUCGGUCAUGGUGCAAUUUACCCAUCAGCAAAACAACCAAUAACAUGUGUCUCAAAAAAAAAUAAAACAAUAAUUUUUUUAGUAACAGUUAACUUACCUGUAUAAUAACUGCAGCUUUUGUUUGCUGCCUAAAGUGAAGCUCUUUGCGAGCAGCCAGACCACGUAAUCCAGCUUGUAUCAUGAUUGAUGCCGACAAUAGGUCUCUGUAUUGUUUCUUUGCAUGGUACAUGCGGAAGUAGGUUUGGAUCCUCAAUGAAGCAAACUCUCUUCGCAUGUUCUCGUGACACUUCCGAGCAAGUUGUCCUUUAAUAACAUCAAAUUUUUGGUUUUUUUAAUGCCUCAGAAAAGAAACUAGAGAAAUAUGCACACAUUACCCAGCAAUGUUAUCUAUGUACAAAUAUAUGUCCCCUUUGGAAAUCUGAAAUUUCAAUUUGUCCUUGGAGAACUUUCUUUCUUAAAUACAUACCCUGGUAGUUACAAAAGUGUGCCCCAACUAAAUGUAAGGGAAUAUUUUUAGGAACAUCCCUUCAGAAGGAUAGAUACGCAAAUUCAGAUCUUACAGGCAGUAGAUAUGUAAACUGGAAAGCCCAAAAUCGAAAGCCAAUGUUUGCUACCCUGUUACAAUUGAACAGAAUGAACACAAUAUAGACAUACUUACCCCUGCAUAUGGCCUGAAUCUGGAUAGCUGAUUUCUGGAGCAAAAUAUAAUGCUUGCGAGCACGAUAUGAGCGAACUUUUCUCUGAAUUUUGCUGGCAGAUUGUCCUAACACUUCGUUUCUACGAGCAUCUAAUUCAGCCAUCUGACCAGCCCGGAGAAACACCUUUGUCUUCCCUACCUGGCAUUUUAAAAUUAACAUAGUAAUAUAGCACAGAGGGAAGAAAAUGAAUUCAGAAGUAGCAAAAAUCGGAAGAAACAUAAUAAUGUGUUUGGUUAACUUCAUUUGCACGCUCUUUAUAGAUAUCACUUGUGUAUAUCUAACACUGUAGAAGGAUAAUGAUAUCCAUCCAUAGGGACAAACUGUUUGACGACAAAGGUCGAGCAUUUACUAUUACCAUUUUUGAAAAGCUUACCUGAUAAUACGAAUUGUGACGUAUCACACCAUACAUAAAUAUAUAUACAUAUACAUAUAUACAUAAAUAAAUAAAUAUAUAUGUAUAUAUACAUAUACAUAUGCAUAUAUACAUAAAUAAAUAUAUAUAUGUACAUGUACAUAUAUAUAUAUAUAUAUAUAUAUACAAUUAUACAUAUAUAUACAUAUAAAUACAUAUAUAUAUAAAUAUACAUAUAUAUAUAUAUGCAAGGGGCAAUUGCUUAUAUACCCCUAAAAUGUUCCCGACUUUCUGAUUUACCCCUCUUAAAAGGCUAAUAUUGAAAAUACCCUUUUUACGUUCCAACCUAUUUCAAAUAUAUCCUUAGAGUUAAAAUCGGAUAAUGAACUCUAUUAUCUCUAUGAAAUUACCAUUUUGCCCUUUCAAAUAUACCCUUCUACCAUCACUGACUUUUUUUAUUUGCCCUUAAGUUAGGGGCACAAAAAGUAUUUUACUUUUUGGUCUUUUCAAAUAUACCAUUUUACCAUCACCAACAUUUCUUAUUUGCACUUAAGUUAAGGGCAAAAGUGGCAUUUUAAUUUUUUUUAACUGUGGUAGAUAUUUAACUCACGUUUAACCCAAGUUAUCUUAACGGGUGGUAAUGGCAUGAAUAUGUUGGAAUAACAGAGGAACAUAUGAGGAGUAUAUUGGAAAGAAAAAAAAAAGUCGAGAUAAAUGAGAUAUUUUCGAAGUUUUGAGAGGUAUAUAGGCAAUUAUCCCUAUACUACAAUUAGUACUAUAUAUAUAGAGUCCGGCUGGGAUACAUCGAUAGCACAAGAACUUGGUGCUAUCGAGUUUUCCACCAUUAGAUUUAAUCCCUUGAUUACUUUAUCUGUUAGAUUAUACUAUUCAACCACCACCCCUCAACCCUAGGGGGGGCCCACAUCAUCUUAACCGCACUUUCUCAAUCCAAGGCGUUAAAAAACUAAUAGCCCAAUAGCUUAGUUGCUUAUAAUAGUAUUCCAGCCUAGUUUAUAUAUAUAUAUAUAUUAUAUAUACAAUAUAUAUAUAUACAUAGAGUCCGACUGGGAUUACUAUCGAUAGCACCAAGGGCUUGGUGCUAUCGAGUUUUCACCAUUGAUUUAACACUUUGAUUAUUUUUACCCGUUAGAUUACUACUUUCAACCAACCCACUCACUCAACCCUAAAGGGCCCACAUCAUUCUAACCGCAUAUUUCUCAAUCCAAGGGCUAAAAAAACUAAUAGCCACGAUAGCUCGGUGCUAUAUGAUAGUAUUCCAGCCUAGUUCUACACACACACACACACACACACACACAUAUACAUAUAAUAUUACAGAAUUGAGCUCUAUGCUUUUAAAAGUACCAAGUUAUUGGUGCUUGGUAAGAUUUUAACAUUGGAUUAGAGAAAUUGCGUGUUAGGAUGAUGUUGGACCCCCUAGGGUUGGAGUGGGUGGGUUGGUUGAAUAGUAUAAUCUAAUGGUUGAAAUGAUCCGAGUAGAUACAUGUAUAUAACAUGUAUGUAUAUACAUGUAUGUGUAUACAUACUGUAUAUGUACACAGCAUAUAGUAUAUGUAUAUAUAUAAUGUAUAUAUAUAGUAUAUAUAUAUUAUAUAUAUAAUAUAUGAUAUAUGGAUAUGUGUAGCUACAACUCUCUCUCUCUUCUCUCUCUCUUCUCUCUCUCUCUCUCUCUCUCUUAAUAUUGAUAUAUAUAUAAACAAAUACUAUGCAUUGGAAUGUAAUGCAUUAUAUAUGUAAGAAAUUAUAUCUGUUAUUGCAAUAUCAUAUAAAAUGCAUAGAAGUUUGAGUGAUAGAGACAAAGCUUACUUGAUAACCUCUAAGAUCAACCUUCUCAAGAAUCCGCUUUGAAGUAAUGACUUCAUCAGAACUGCCAUAGGUAACAAAUAGAAAACAUGCAAAACAAUUCCCAAGACAAUUAGAAAAUUGACUGAGAAAGACCGAAGAAUUUACCUUUCUUUGAUAAUUUCAGGUGCCAGGACACCAAAACGAUCCACGAAUUCAUCGAAUGUGCGCCUUGUUGGAUAUCCCGCACAGCUAAUCCUGAUCGCCUCCAGCACUCCCUACAUUAACAGGAUAAAUUCAGAAUGUGUCCACUUGAGUAACUAGUAAGAAUUAAUCUGCUACAUCAUCCGUUUACCCUGGCUUCUGGAAAAGUAAACUAAUCAAAUAACAAAAAUUUGGGAGAAUCUUGUUCUGACAGGAAGCUGGUAUGAUCUUCUAGGCCUGAAUAGCAUAAGCUCCAAUUUGAAGCUUCUAUUUCUGCAACAUAUGGAAGCUGUUGGGAAAAUUUUAAUUAAAAAUAAGUUUUGUAGUGUUUCUUCGAACAGCUCAACUCUAGAAAGCACUUUUGCAGAAGCUCAACCUGGCCAAAUAGGCCCUAAAAGAAAAAUACAAGAGCAAAGUGUUGCAAUAUCAACUCACUCCACAUCGCAGUUGCUGGAUGACGUUACUAUUCUCAAAAAUUGCUGGCUUAAGAAGGUUGUUAGGCUUAACACAACGUACGUAGUGUGGUUCCGUGGCACUUAAAGUCUCUAACAAAGUUUGCAAUUGUUGCUGCAAAAUUUUGACAUUAUGACACUCAAAAUAUAGAGAGAAACAUGAAUAAAAAUAUAAUAUCAAGGAGAAAUUAUUGCCUGCAACCAGUGCACCGCAUCAGCUGGUGCUCCUAUAAGUGCCCUUUGUCCCAUCUCAUGCCUUUUUAAUCCGACCAUUCAAAAGAAAAUAUUCUUUUUAAAAGAACAAGAGAAGGUUGCAACUCAUGUGGCAAUGGGGAUAUAACAAUAUAAGAUAAGCUGGCGGGCAGAUCACUUGACAGUACACGGUUGGUGUGGCACACCCAGUGAAGGCAACAAUUUCACAGUAUCAGGAGACAAGAUAGCGUUACCUUGAACCUUAAGCCAAUUGAUGAAAAUUUUGAAGAUUUAGAUGAGUCUUCAGAGAGAAGUGGAAAUAGACUUGAAACAAAGUGGCAUUCCGAAGCAUUCAAUAGGGCUUGAUGCUCAUUGACAACAUAAUCUUUGUUCUUAUCCAAGAAAAGUUCUGUUUGGUAUGUGACCUGAGAAUGAGAGAAAAUGUCUCUUAAACUAAAACUAAACAGGCUCAGCCCUUUCUUUGCCAGUAAUAAAUAGUUCAGACCACGAACUUGUCCCGAUCUCAAAUUUUCAGUCAAUUGGUAAACUGAAUCAGCACUUGCAAUUUAGUUCAUUCUGCUUAUUGCUUACUCUCUCACCAUUUUAGUAAUGGCAUGAUUCCAUGUUUCUAAAACUCAACCACCAUAAAAACACAUUCUUAUACUAAACAAUAUAUUAGUUAAGGGUCUCGAUUCAAAAUAAUUAAAUUAUUGAAGAAGUGUCAGCAAGUUGUCUUCUGUGAAAAAUGCAAUCGCUUAUGACCUGGUUCUAACCCUCUAGUCAAAGAACUGGGCCAGGAAUGAGCACAAUGCUUGUGCUCAAGCAUCAGAAAUAAAGCCCUACAAUCUCUUAGCCUGGGGCCAUCAAAUUAUGGAGGCAAAUGAAGCAAAAAAACAAAGGGGGUUAAAACAGGAAAAAAAAUUAAAAAAAGGCUUACAUCACCAGCAUAAUGAUGGAUGGUGAAGCCAGACUGUGAAAAUUUAGGCUUGCUAAAGCGUGGAUGAUCUUUAAAUGUUUGAUAUAACUUCUGGGCAAAUGUUUCAUGAGUUGAUCUUGGUAGCAUACUGCAAAAGACAAUCAAUAUAGUUAGGAUAAAGCUAAUAUGAAUAUUUGAUGAAAAUGAAGAAGCAGCAAAUAUGUAAGCAUACAUACCAAGUCUCGUCCAGAAGAGCAAUGAUUCCCCCUGGUUUCUGGGUGAAAAUUUAAAGGUAAUUGUUUAAUACAUGAACUUGUUAUGUUAGAAUUAGAAAUACUAUGUCUAGCUGAUGAAAUGUAUAUGAAAACUAAUAUAAAAAAGAAUGAGGAGACAGUGAUAAUUCUGGCAGCUGUCUAUGAAGGUGUACAUUUGUAUUUUGUAGACAAAACAAGAAAAAGAUUUGGUUGUAUGUGAUCCAAGGAAACAAUAUAGACUUUCUCGGAUAUUGUCCAGUACAAUAUAAUAAUCACGGAACUUUCAUGAUAAAAAACACAUCCGCAAAAAGUUAAAGCACAAUUACUUUUAAAGACAUAAAAAUAAACUUUUUGUGAAUUUAAUAUAAAACAUAUACAGCACUAAGCGUGUAAGAGUCACUAUUGCACACUUACAAGUAAGCCAUCACAAAACGCUGCAUGUCCUUAUUAAUUUCGAAUCUGAACAUUUCAUCUUUGCUAGAAACCCAGUAACCAUAUUUGCAACAUAAACAUUAUAGUACAUCAGGAGCAUCUUAAGAUAAGUCUAAGGAUAGAUUUUUGGCCUUGAAUCAGAUAUGUUUUUCCAUGCCAAUGACAUGCAACAUGGUUUGAAUUUUCUUAUGAUAAGUCUAAGGAUAGAUUAUUGGCCUUGAAUCAGAUAUGUUUUCCAUGCCAAUGACAUGCAAAAUGGUUUGAAUUUUCUUAUGGAACAUUGUUUGCCUAUAUUUGGAGUACUUUUAUGCUCAUAUCGGUUAGCAUAAUCUGGGCAUAUCAUCUCCCAUGCGGCCAAAAAGGUCCUCAAUAAGCUUUCAAACUUUUAGAAGUUUCCUCGUUUUUGAAUGUUAAAAGUGUAUAUAAUAUCUGAUUUUACAGAAAAAUAUAUGUAAACACCCUAAAGGAUAACUUUUUCAUUGAUGCAGCCCAUAUGUUUUGAAGUAGACAAAAUAUACCUUCUCAAUAAGAUCAAGAAUAUCUUGGUUGUCAAUGAACUCGAUGUAACUCCAAUCAAUUUCUUCUUUUGUAUAUUCUUCCUGCUCCAUCUUAAAAACAUGCUGUUUCAGGAAACCAACAAUAACCAAGUUACUGGGUAAGAUAAACUAAAAUGCUAAGGCAGUGAUUCACUGAAGGAAUGUCAUAACAAAUAAGUGAUUUUCCAUGCACUCACCUGAUUAAAAUGCUGCUGCAGCUUUUCAUUAGUCAAAUUGAUACAAAACUGCUCAAAGCUGCAAACAUAUAAAAACAUAAGAAGCCAAACACCACUAGUAGCAGAAAUGAGUGAAUCAACACAUAAACGUAUAAUAUUCCUGCAAAUUACCUAUUUACAUAUGUCUCCCUACAAAAUCAAGAUUUUCAUAUAUAAAUGGAAUUAUCCUAAAUUCCUAAUAAUAGUACAUAAUGGAAUCAUCUAUUAUUCCUGUAAAUUAUCAUGCCUCAAAAGUUCAAUAGUUAAUUUUUAAAUAAGUAAUAUAAAAAUAGAAACAUCUUACAUGUUGAGAUACUAAUCACUCUCCAUCAAUUUCAGAAUGUGGUUAAAAAGGUCAUAGUUAUUUAUUUUAAUAAUGAUGAAAAAUGGGAUCUUCCUACAUGUUGAGAUAUCAAUCAUAAAUGUAAGCCGACGAAGUAGUCUUCAAAUUUCUGACAUCAGUUUAUAACCCCCCCCCCCCCCCCUCCCUUCCAUUUUCACUCAAAUCUUAAAAGUUUGCAAUUAAGAUUCAAACCAUCUUCUUUUAGCAUAUUGCAGAUAGGAAAUAAAAGUUAUAAAUGAUAUUUUGAUAUCCCUAAAUAACAAAUCAACAUCCAUAUACCCUGAACCAAGUUUAUUACUUCAACCAAGUAUCCAAGUGUAAUCACAUAAAAACAUACAUUAUCAUGAUCUCAAAGUAAUAACAAGGUCAUCCAUAUUCAAAUUACUUUGAGACUACUAAAAUUGACAUGAAAAUUUGGAUAAUCCUGACGAAAGCAAAGCAUACCAGUUAAGCACCUGUUUGUCUUGAAACUUUUGAAGCAUAAAUAUCCAGUACCCCAAUUAGAAACUUUGAGUGGGGAUCUUGACCAAUUGAACAGUUUAUCUUAUUCACAAGCCUGCAAUUAAGUAUCAAUAAUCAACUACAGUAUAAAAAAAAAACAAAGAAAAGGAGUUUUUCCCCAAUUAGAAACACUAAUUUUUUUUAUUAGUGUUUGGUGGGGGUCAUUCCACCAAUUGCUUAGCUUGUGAAGCUACCUUAAUAUGCUACGUUCCAACAAGUUGGUUGUGUUUUUGUUGGGUAGCAAAGGAAGGUCUCAAUCUUGUAAAUACCUUUCAAUCAAUCAAUUAUUAAGCACUAAUUAAAACCUUGUCCUCUAAUUAUUGCCUUACUAUCAUGUACUUUUCUCAUUGAUUCAUUUAAUUCAAGUCAUAUUAAGUCAAUCACUGUAGUUCAUUUUUGUUCAAAGAAUUUAAAAAAAAAAUCAGAAGUUUAUGUUACAUAAUACCCAAAAUUAUAUCCAGAGACUAACCAUAAUAUAAGCAUUCCGAUUCACGGAUUUGAUGGUCCGACCUAUGCACCCUAGGCAACAAUGAGAAGAAGAGGACAUUGUUCUCCCCAUGCAGCUUUCAGAAACAGUAUCAACGUGCUUCAACCUGCGACGAAGAGACUCGAGUAUAAACCGCACCCACUCCACAAUUGACACCACCAGUGACCCAAGAGAAACGGACCCAAGACUGUACCGCAGGAGACGCUUUACGGAAGAGAAUACAGGGAAAAAUGGAAUCUCCUCCUGUACUGAACAUAAUUCUAAGUCAUUCUCUCACAAAGGAAAACAGAGCCUUUGAAAAGGGCAAAUGGAAGAGUUGGAAUUUUAAAGUUAAGCACGCAACAGCUAAACAUUUUAGCAAUACCUUUUUCUCUUAAAUAUUAUUUAGAAAUCCAAAUCAGUUAAUUGCUUUUAAUGUGUUUCACUAGUUGCUUCUGAUAAAAAAAAAUCCUGUGGUUUUGGAGAUAUAUGGAUUCACAUCUACAUACCACUAUACAAUUUAUUCUCCCCGUAUAUUGUCAAUACGAGCAACUGAUCCAGCAAUUACCAUAGAAGAGCAAGCAAUGAAGAAUUGUGUCGCCCAAUAACACACCCAAAUAGGUGGAAAAGGAUGGAAAUGCCAAUAUGAGGGGUGUAAUGAAUGCUAUAGCGACAGCAACUAUCGCAAUUUACCUUGUUGGACUUCAGAUCAUACGAACAGCAAUUACCGUUGCAAUCAUUUUUUGAGUAUUUGACCAGAGCUGAAAAGAUGNUUUAUUACUUCAACCAAGUAUCCAAGUGUAAUCACAUAAAAACAUAUAUUAUCAUGAUCUCACAGUAAUAACAAGGUCAUCCAUAUUCAAAUUACUUUGAGAUUGUACUAAAAUUGACAUGAAAAUUUGGAUAAUCCUGACAAAAGCAAAAGCAUACCAGUUAAGCACCUGUUUGUCUUGAAACUUUCGAAGCCAUAAAUAUCCAGUACCCCAAUUAGAAACUUUGAGUGGGGAUCUUGACCAAUUGAACAGUUUAUCUUAUUCACAAGCCUGCAAUUAAGUAUCAAUAAUCAACUACAGUAUAAAAAAAAAUAAAAAAGUAGGAGUUUUUCCCAUCUUAUUUUUUUUUACUCAUGUGAACCCAAGCUAUGUAGGCUGAAAAUUACUUGGCAGUCAAUUUCAUAAACACUAACCAAUCAAACAAACGCGAGUAAACAAUUUUGGCUAACGCAUCUCUACUAAGAACUGCGGCUUCUGGAUUUAGAUUCUUUACAAUGCUCUCCCCACGUGUCACAAUAACACGUUUGCACAAUGAGUCCUCAAGAGCUUUCUCAUCACACCUAUGAGAAGUUGGAUAAUUCUUUUGUAAGCUGACAAGCGCAUGUAAUCCAAUACAAACUCAAACAAUUAUAUGGAUGUGUAGAAAAUGAGGGGUUACAUGAAAAGCUCAGCAGCCGUUUUGAGAUGGAAUUGUGAUUUCUCAUCUUUUAAUACAGAUGAAUCUGUUUCCUCUCCUUCCGAAAAUUCAACAUUGCCCAAAUGAAGAAUAGCAGCCACAACACGGAAUAUUGCAUCCUUGAAAAAAAGAAAGAGCGAAAAUGCAUAGAGUACUUGUUUAGUAAAGCAAUAGUUUACCAGUGGAAACAUUGAAAAAAGUAAAGAACAAUUUACUUGUUCAUCGGGACUAAUUCCCACAAUGUCCAUGGCCCUUCUAGUAUCCAAAUAUUCCUUCGAGUCAUCCACAUCGUCAAGCUCGAAGCAGUUAGACUGGUUAAGAUAGUGAAACAUUCUAGGAUCUUCCAUUUUAAAUCUUUCAAUGUCCUAACACGUAAACAAUUUGGGUAUCAUGUUAUAUAAAUGCAAUAUUAGUUCACAAAGGACUUGUAACUAAUAUAAAAAAAAGUAUUUGACAAUAGACCCAAAAUACAAUGAUUGUAAUAAAUUAGCAACUAAAAGUAUAAAGACCAACAAAUUCAAGGUGACAUCAUAACAUAGCAUUUAAGAUUUGUGGUGCAACUAUUCCUGUGUAUGCCACACCUACUAGCUCAUCUCAACAUCUAAUACCUUUCAUGUUUAAGAAAAAUAAAACACCAAAAACAUGGAGAGCGCCAAUUUAAGAUUUGUGUGCAUCUUUCUUUGAAUAAAGAAUAAGAUUACGCCAAUUCCAAGUUUCACGACCUUUGACCUGCUCUUAGAGUCUCACUCCAAUCUUACAUUUGUACUUUCUAAUUACAAGUUUACAACUCAUAGUUUUUUUUUUGCAUCUUCAAUACCGAAUUACUCUAGUUUCUUUCUCCUAAGUUCAUCCAUCCUACAACACUCCAAAUAACUAAGCAACUUAAUGCUUACAGAACUGCUAAGUUGAUUGUAAUUAGGGGGAUCUCAUCUUGAAAGGACUCAUCUUGAACAACUAAUCCUUUCAAGAUGAGGUCUCGACAUCUACUCUAAACUAAUCAUAAGUAAAUUGUAGAUUUCAAGAGCCACAAGGAAGAGUCAACUAGAAUUUUUGCAGCCUCAGAAUUUGCUACAAACUGAAUUCUUCAUAUUAGACAUCACAGAAUUUGUAUUAUUCCACCAGUUUUCUGAAUGAACAUGUGAAACAAGAGGAUCAUACCUCAGGUGGUGCAGCACACAGCAUGUAAAAGCAGUGGUAAUUUCUCUCUGGAUCGGAUAUUUGACAGACACGAGACCUUUCAAGAAGAUAUGUCCUUAUGGCUGCUCCCGAAAUCCUCCCACUCUCAUCAAACUGAAUCUCAACAAAUUUUCCAAAACGGCUGAUGUACGGCAAGUCGUCCAAAGAUGUAUGCAUUUAAAAUGAAAAAGAAAAAGAAAGGAGUUUUAGCAUAUAUGUAAAUAAAAAUUCAACUAUUACAAGCAUACCCCUGUAAAAAUGUGAAUUUCCACUACACCGUUCAAAUUACAAAAAAUACUCUUACGUUAUCAAGUUGUACAGUUCACAAGGGAAGUUACCGUAUACCUUAAAGUGGGAUAUUUCAGUAAAUACCCCAUACAUACAUGCAUACAUAUUAAUAUCUGAAGUUUCAAGACAAAAAAAUAUAUAUAUAUGCAUAAUUUUGGAGAUUUGGUACCUUGAAUUAUUAUUUCGGACAGUCUUGGCAUUACCAAAUGCUUCAAGAACAGGAUUCGACUGUAAAACAAGUGAUGCUCAAGGAAUUAAACAUUUAUGCAACUCUUUCAAGAUAAAUAAAAGAAAGCAGAGGCCUCAUAACCUAUAUCCAAAAUUACACACGAAAUAGAAACUUACCUCAAGAACUUGCUGUUCCACAGUUCGGCCUUCAGUUUCUGCUCUUCCUCCCAUAUAAGCAAGAUAACGCAUAAGCAUUUUGGUGCUUUCUGUCUUGCCAGCACCACUUUCUCCACUUACCAGGAUUGCCUGACUUACCCUAUCACGCAUCAUAAGUCUGCAUAGGAAACACAAUAGUGAUUUUAGAAAAAAGUUUGUAAUCUCAUCAUCUGCCUUGAUGCCUCUUUGGCCCAGCUAAAUCUCUGCUAGAAACAGUAGAAACAGCUCUUUAAUUUAACUUUACUCAACAGCUUCUUACUGCAACUGAAGCAAAAACUUCAAACUGGAGCUUUUACUUCUGGAGCCCCUAAGGUCACUUUUUUUUCUUUUUGCCGGAGCAAAAGCUCCAAAUGAUUUGGUAGCUGAGGGCCUGGUUCUUGGAAGCCACUGUUUCCAAAGUAAAGAAUUUGUUCUAGAAGCCAGGUCAAACAACGCACUAAUGAUGUUCAGUGCAUACCUAUAUGCAGCAUCAGCAACAGCAAAAGGAUGGGGAUUCAGAUCACCAAGAGCGGCACCCUUAUAUUGUUCCAUCAUGUGUUUGUCAUAAAGAUGAGGAAGCCUCCGAAAGGGGUUCACGGCAAUUAGUAUACUUCCCACAUAAGUCUGGAAAAGAUUUAACAAAUCAACUGAGGCAUGCUGCCAAAAUCACUGGUAUAUACACACCAGAACAAUGCAUACUAGAUAGCACAGUUAGUCAUUACUAAAAUAAUUCAAUUCAAAUAAGUAGAGUGAAUCAAGGGAUCACCAAACAUUUACUCACAUAAAUUUCAUUCAUGUCAUAUCUUGAUCUUAAGUUCUGCAGAACUCCUGGCUCAUGCAGAUAUGCUAGCCUUGUCAUGUCAUCGACACCACAUGGUGAUGCUUCUGCAUCCUUGGGAUAGACGUUGGACACUUUUGCCACAACCUAAAAAAGAAGAACAAUAAUCGAUUUAAAAUCCAUCAUUUGCUUAUUUUUUCCAACCAAUAACUGUUAUAAGGAACUCAAAAAA